CACAACUCAUCAAACCUAAUUUUUGUGCCUUAGGGCACCCAUCCCGAAAACAUUUUUCUCAAAGGUAAAAUCAACCAACACACGAACAUUUUUCUACUCUGAACUACGAAUCUCUGAUUCCUCAUCCCCUGAGUGAUACGUAGGCACAAGGGCCACAAUCCUUGGCGAGCACAAUAAUGAAAAACCUCAGGGUCUCAUCAUUCUCUUUACACACACUUUUGAAAAAAAAAUAAUCGGGAUAAAUACCCACAUAUGUAAACAACCCAAAUGGUUCCCACGGAGUACCAUAAAUGUGGGGGUGCUACUACCUUCCCCUUGUGAGACCGAUUCCUUAUUCCUUUUUAACGCUUCCCGUGCGCAUCUCUUUUUCGAGGGUUUUAUCGACUAUUUCCCCUCGCCUCUCCGAUAGAGGCAUAUAAAUAAAAUUCAAUGGCGACUCUUCUAAUUUUUUCCUUUGAUGGGCAACUCUUUAGUUCAAGUUUGUCUGGUUUUAUUAUCCUGAAAAUCCUGGUGGCGACAGUUGGCAACUUGUUGGGGACACUAGUUCCCUAAGCAAGUCUAGCGUAGUUUGGGUUAUUUUCCUUUUUGCGUGUGUGGGGAUUUAUCCUUUUAUUUAUCUUUUCUAUGUAUAUAUUGCUUAUAUUGCUAACUUGUAUAUAUUUUCUUUGUUUGCCUGUUGGUCUGAAACCAUGACUUUGUGACAAAGAAAGUUUGGAGGCAAUAAUGAUUGCAAUGAAAACUAUGUGUGAAAGAUUCACCACCCGAGUCUGAGAGUUUGCUUGAGAUAGGAGAGGUUGAGUAGUAUUGGUCCUCGAGGUGUCUUCCUCUUAAGGGUCAUACGAGAACCUCACUUAGUGGUAGACUCUCUUAAGGGGAUUGAUGAUCGUCGUGCUUUCAGCAUAAGCAUGCUUUCCUUUAUUAGAGUUUGUGACCCUAAGACCCCCCCCUUUUAGAAUAUUUAACCAUGGCCAUCCUAGACCAAUGGCCGCGUAGUAUAUGUCCCUGAGGUGCCUUCCUCAUAGGGGUCAAUACGAAGAUCUCACUUAGAGUAGAUGAGCUUGAUGGAGCAGUCGUCUGGUGACAUAAGCGGUUGACAGUCAAGGAAGUCCAUGACUCUAGGGGCAAUGUCUUAAACCCAAUUUCUCAAAAGCCUUAGAUCAUAGAAAGCGAGAACCUUGGUUUGAAAAGCAGUCAUUAUUAAACCUCACACUUCGUCACAAUGCUCCGAGAUUUUGAACUCGUGCCUAAGUUCCGUAGAAAUUAAUAAAAAAAUCAAUCAUUCAUAUAUACAUGCAUUCGUUCAUCAUCAAACUAAUAAGAAAAUAUCUUAAGAAUUUUGUUUUUUCAAAUGCGGAAUUACAAUACCUUUUACCAACAUAAUCAUGGAUUCCUCAACAAGGAAAAUCACAUCUACUUUCAGAUUAAAGAGUCCUGACAUCAACCCAUUGAAGGUCCUUUUCUCAAGAAUAUUAUACCUCAAGGACAACAAAUUUAGAUCCAACUUUGAUAACAUCGUAGCUCUUCUAACUAAGGAAGUUGACUAUGGUGUUAUCACUACAAUGGCCCAAUACUAUGACGUCCCUCUGAGAUGUUUCACCUUUCCUGAUUUCCAAAUCUCUCCAACCUUGGAAGACCUUGAGAGACUUCUCAACCGAUCAAUAAAGGAAUACAACCCCUUCCCCAAAUUGGAAGAAGGUUUCUGCUUGACCUAACUUUCAAUCAUUUUGGGUAUCAACACCAACAAACUAGUGGCCAAUUGGGGCACUAAAGGUUCCGUUAAGGGCUUGACUCAAAUAUUCCUCUAAGCCCAUGCUUGGGAGAUGAUAAAGGAAUAAAGGCCCGAUUUCUGCAAUGCAACCUUAGCACUUAUGAUACAUGGAAUUGUUUUAUUCCCAAAUGUAGACAAGUUCAUGGAUCAUUUGGCGGUUGAAGUUUUUCUAAUAAAGAACCCAAUUUUGUUUCUGCUUGUCGACUUCUAUCAUACCUUCCACACGAGGCAUGAGAAGAAAAGAGGUAACUUCCUCUGUUGUACUCCCAUGUUGCACCUAUGGAUGAUGGCUUGCAUUCCUUAAUGUGGACCCUUUUCUCAAAACAAUCUGACAUGGCCUCAAAAGUUCGCAUCUCUCUCUGCCAGUUCAAUCCUAUGGUACAAGAGAGGAUGGGAUACAAAAUAUGCCAUUUCAAGAUGUGAAGGGUUCCUAAACGUUCCCUUAAUAGGAACGUAAGGCUAUAUCAACUACAACUUCGCUUUACUUAAGAGACAAUUGGGGUAUGCCAUGUUGAGUUCUCCCGAGGAGAGAGACUUCAUUCCUUUCAUCGUCAAUAUCGUAUACCCGCUCGAUUUAAAUGUAAAGGGAGUGCGAAGAGUGUAACACCCCGAUAAAAAUAAGAUAAUUAUUUAAUUUAAGUUAAUAGUAUAUUUAUUAAUUUAAUUAAAUAAUUGGAAUAUUAUUGGAAUUAUUAUUAUUAUUGGAAUAAUAUAAAUUGGAAUAAUAAAGUUGGAAUAUAUAUAAAGAGUUCCAUUUGGUAAAAAAGGUUUUUCACGUGAAAACCAGAGAAGCGACAGAAAGUGAGAAAAGGGCAAAGAGGAAGAGCAAGAGAACGAGGGUUGAAGAAGGGGAAAAGCUUGAAGCUAAAGGAUUGCCGGAUUAACUCAGGUAAGGGGGGUUUAUCGUCGUUUAAUGGGUAUUAUGGGUUAACAUGUAAUGGGUAGUNNNNNNNNNNNNNNNNNNNNNNNNNNNNNNNNNNNNNNNNNNNNNNNNNNNNNNNNNNNNNNNNNNNNNNNNNNNNNNNNNNNNNNNNNNNNNNNNNNNNNNNNNNNNNNNNNNNNNNNNNNNNNNNNNNNNNNNNNNNNNNNNNNNNNNNNNNNNNNNNNNNNNNNNNNNNNNNNNNNNNNNNNNNNNNNNNNNNNNNNNNNNNNNNNNNNNNNNNNNNNNNNNNNNNNNNNNNNNNNNNNNNNNNNNNNNNNNNNNNNNNNNNNNNNNNNNNNNNNNNNNNNNNNNNNNNNNNNNNNNNNNNNNNNNNNNNNNNNNNNNNNNNNNNNNNNNNNNNNNNNNNNNNNNNNNNNNNNNNNNNNNNNNNNNNNNNNNNNNNNNNNNNNNNNNNNNNNNNNNNNNNNNNNNNNNNNNNNNNNNNNNNNNNNNNNNNNNNNNNNNNNNNNNNNNNNNNNNNNNNNNNNNNNNNNNNNNNNNNNNNNNNNNNNNNNNNNNNNNNNNNNNNNNNNNNNNNNNNNNNNNNNNNNNNNNNNNNNNNNNNNNNNNNNNNNNNNNNNNNNNNNNNNNNNNNNNNNNNNNNNNNNNNNNNNNNNNNNNNNNNNNNNNNNNNNNNNNNNNNNNNNNNNNNNNNNNNNNNNNNNNNNNNNNNNNNNNNNNNNNNNNNNNNNNNNNNNNNNNNNNNNNNNNNNNNNNNNNNNNNNNNNNNNNNNNNNNNNNNNNNNNNNNNNNNNNNNNNNNNNNNNNNNNNNNNNNNNNNNNNNNNNNNNNNNNNNNNNNNNNNNNNNNNNNNNNNNNNNNNNNNNNNNNNNNNNNNNNNNNNNNNNNNNNNNNNNNNNNNNNNNNNNNNNNNNNNNNNNNNNNNNNNNNNNNNNNNNNNNNNNNNNNNNNNNNNNNNNNNNNNNNNNNNNNNNNNNNNNNNNNNNNNNNNNNNNNNNNNNNNNNNNNNNNNNNNNNNNNNNNNNNNNNNNNNNNNNNNNNNNNNNNNNNNNNNNNNNNNNNNNNNNNNNNNNNNNNNNNNNNNNNNNNNNNNNNNNNNNNNNNNNNNNNNNNNNNNNNNNNNNNNNNNNNNNNNNNNNNNNNNNNNNNNNNNNNNNNNNNNNNNNNNNNNNNNNNNNNNNNNNNNNNNNNNNNNNNNNNNNNNNNNNNNNNNNNNNNNNNNNNNNNNNNNNNNNNNNNNNNNNNNNNNNNNNNNNNNNNNNNNNNNNNNNNNNNNNNNNNNNNNNNNNNNNNNNNNNNNNNNNNNNNNNNNNNNNNNNNNNNNNNNNNNNNNNNNNNNNNNNNNNNNNNNNNNNNNNNNNNNNNNNNNNNNNNNNNNNNNNNNNNNNNNNNNNNNNNNNNNNNNNNNNNNNNNNNNNNNNNNNNNNNNNNNNNNNNNNNNNNNNNNNNNNNNNNNNNNNNNNNNNNNNNNNNNNNNNNNNNNNNNNNNNNNNNNNNNNNNNNNNNNNNNNNNNNNNNNNNNNNNNNNNNNNNNNNNNNNNNNNNNNNNNNNNNNNNNNNNNNNNNNNNNNNNNNNNNNNNNNNNNNNNNNNNNNNNNNNNNNNNNNNNNNNNNNNNNNNNNNNNNNNNNNNNNNNNNNNNNNNNNNNNNNNNNNNNNNNNNNNNNNNNNNNNNNNNNNNNNNNNNNNNNNNNNNNNNNNNNNNNNNNNNNNNNNNNNNNNNNNNNNNNNNNNNNNNNNNNNNNNNNNNNNNNNNNNNNNNNNNNNNNNNNNNNNNNNNNNNNNNNNNNNNNNNNNNNNNNNNNNNNNNNNNNNNNNNNNNNNNNNNNNNNNNNNNNNNNNNNNNNNNNNNNNNNNNNNNNNNNNNNNNNNNNNNNNNNNNNNNNNNNNNNNNNNNNNNNNNNNNNNNNNNNNNNNNNNNNNNNNNNNNNNNNNNNNNNNNNNNNNNNNNNNNNNNNNNNNNNNNNNNNNNNNNNNNNNNNNNNNNNNNNNNNNNNNNNNNNNNNNNNNNNNNNNNNNNNNNNNNNNNNNNNNNNNNNNNNNNNNNNNNNNNNNNNNNNNNNNNNNNNNNNNNNNNNNNNNNNNNNNNNNNNNNNNNNNNNNNNNNNNNNNNNNNNNNNNNNNNNNNNNNNNNNNNNNNNNNNNNNNNNNNNNNNNNNNNNNNNNNNNNNNNNNNNNNNNNNNNNNNNNNNNNNNNNNNNNNNNNNNNNNNNNNNNNNNNNNNNNNNNNNNNNNNNNNNNNNNNGAUUUGGGUGGGAUUCAGGUUGGUUGGUGCGAGUGUGUUCAGCAAAAUAGAUUUGAGAUCGGGGAUAUCAUCAAAUACGUGUUGAAAGCUGAGGGAUAUUCAGAAGACUGCUUUCAGAACAAAGGUAUGGAAUUAUGAGUUUUCUGUAAUGCCUUUUGUGUGUGACUAAUGCGCCUGGGGUAUUUAUGGAGUAUAUGAAUAGGAUUUUCCAUCCGUACCUAGGACAGUUUGUGGUGGUGUUUAUUGACGAUAUUUUGGUGUAUUCGAAAUCUGAAGAGGGCAUGUUGAACAUUGAGAGUGGUUUAGGAGUUUCUACGAGGAAAAGGAGUUAUUGCUAAACUGUCUAAGUGUGGAAUUUUGGUUAGAAGAGGUUAGUUUCUUGGUUCAUGUGGAUUUCAAGAGGUGGGUAUUUGCUGUUGAUCCUUCUAAUAGAAGCGGUUAUCUUAAGUGGGAAGCCCGAAGUCUAGUUUCUGAGAUAAGGAGUUUUCUUGGACUUGCGGGUAUUAUAGGAAAAUUCAUUGAGGGAUUUUCUAGUUGGCUUAUACGUUUGACGAUGUUGACUAAGAAAGGGGCAAGCGUUUUGUUUGGGACUCAAAAUGUGAAGAAGGUUUCCAAAGAGUUAAAGAGAAGGUUAACUAUUGCUCCUAUUCUGAUAUUACCAAGUCCAUCGAACCAUUUGAGGGUUUACUGUGAUGGUUCGUUGUUGGGUUUGGGUGGUGUUUUGAUGCAGAAUAAGCAGGUUGUAGCUUAUGCUUCGAGACAAAUGAAGGUUCAUGAGAGGAACUAUCCGACACACGAAAUUUAGAGUUUGCAGCUGUGGUAUUUGUUCUGAAGUUAGGAGGCAUUAACUUGUACGGGUCAAGAUUUGAGGUUUUCAAUGACCAUAAAAGUUUAAGUAUUGUUUUGAUCAGAAAGAGCUGAAUAUUGAGACAGAGGAAGAUGGUUAGAGUUUCUUGAAGGAUUAUGACUUUGGUUGAAUUUACCAUCCGGGUAAGCAAACGUAGUGGCUGAUGCAUGGAGUCGGAAUCAUUGCUAUGUCUAUGUUAAUGGUUAGGAAUAAGGAUUUAAUUGAGCAGUUUAGAGACUUGAGUUUGUGUGUUGAGAGUACUCACAAUAGUGUUAAAUUGGAAUGUUGAAGUUAACGAGUGGUAUUUCGGAUGAGAUUAGAGAGGGUCAGAAAUCCGAUUGGCUUUUGGUUGAUAAGUGUACUCUGCUUGAAUCAAGGUCAAAGGUGGUGAAUUCAGAGUUGAUGAGAAUGUGUUUGGAAAUUGGUAAUCGGGUGUGUAUUCCGGAUGUUACCGAACUAAGAAGAGUAUUCUUGAGGAAGAACAUCGUAGUGGCUGAAUUCAUCUGGGGCUACGAAGAUGUUCAUGAUUUGAAAAAGUUUUUGUGUGGUCUGGAAUGAAAAGAAGAAAAUUGCGAGGUUUUUGUUAUUUUUCUUUGACUUGUCAGAAGUCAAAGAAUUGAGCAUCAGAAGUCGUCUGGGUAAUGCAACCUUUGGCUAUUCCAGAGUGGAAGUGGAUAGUAUCAGUAUGGAUUUUGUUUUCUGGUUUACCGAGGACAGUUAAAAUUUUGAAGCUUUGGGUGAUUGUUGACAAGAUUGACAAAAUCGGCUCAUUUCAUCCCAGGAAUGGAUUAUCCGUUGGAGAGAUUAGGUGAGUUGUAUUUGAGAAAAUUAAUAAGUUUGGCAUGGUCAUUCCGUCGAGUAUGUUUCAGACAGAGAUCCUAGAUUUACAUCGAAGUUCUGGAAGGUUUGCAGAGGGCUUUGGACUAAGCUGAGAUUGAGUUUGCAUAUCAUCCGCAAGAGAGGUCAGACUGAGAGGACAAUUCAGUCGCUGGAGGAUCUUUGAGGGCUUGUGUUUUUUGGAAAAGGGAGGGUGCUUGGGUGUAUUUUUACCUUUGAUUGAGUUUUACCUUACAACAAUAGAUUUUCAUUCGAGCAUUGGUAUGGAGGACCGUUUUGAAGCUUUGUAUGGUAGGAGAUGUCGGACACUUAUGUUGGUAUGAGUCCGGUUGAGAGUGUUUGUGGUUGGGACCGGAGAUUGUUUCAACAAAACUACGAAAAGAUUAAGAUGAUUCAGAGAGAUGAGGGAUUGUCAGAGUCGUUCAGAAGAGUUAUCACGACAAGAGGAGGAAUCACUUGAGUUCCCAAGAGGGGGAGUCAUGUGUUUCUUCGUUGUUUUACUCCGAUAACUGGGGUUGGUCGAGCUUUGGAAGUCGAAGAAGUUGACACCUCGAUUUAUUGGUCCUUAUCAGAUUUUGGAGAGGAUAGGGGGGUAGCCUAUCGUAUCGCUUUACCGCCGUCAUUUGCGAAUUUGCAUGAGUUUUUCAUUGUGCUUCAGUUGAGGAGGUAAAAUUCCUGAUUCGUCGCAUGUGGUCCAAGUAGAUGAAUGUACAGGUGAGAGAUAACCUGACUGUGGAACAUUCACCUAAUGAGGAUCGAGGAUCGAGAGUUGAAGCAGUUGCGGGGUAAAGAGAUUGCUUUGGUAAAGGUAGCUGGGGGAGGGACCAGCAGGUGAAUGUGACUUGGGAACUUGAGAGUCAGAUGAAGGGUCUUAUCCGGAGUUUAUUCGCUUGAGUAUGUUUUCGAGACGAAAACUCUUUUAGUGGGGAGAGUUGUAACACCCCCGAUAAAAAAUGAAAGAUAUUAUAAUUUAAGUUAAUAGUAUAUUUAUUAAUUUAAUAAAUUAAUUGGAAUAUUAUUGGAAUUAUUUUAUUAUUGGAAUAAUAAUAAAUUGGAAUAAUAAAGUUGGAAUAUUAUAUAAAGGUUCCAUUUGGUAAAAAAGGUUUCACGUGAAAACCAGAGAAGGACAAGAGUGAGAAAAGGGCAAAGAGGAAGAGCAGGAGAAGAGUUGGUGAAGAAGGAGAGCUUGAAGCUAAAGGAUUGCCGGAUUAACUCAGUAAGGGGGUUUAUCGUCGUUUAAUGGGUAUUAUUGAGUUAACAUGUAAUGGGUAGUGAUAAGCGUUGAUUGACCUAAUUGGAUGAUGUGCUGAAAAAUUGUGAUGAAUAAGUUAUGUUAAAGCUGUAAUUGAUCUGUUCUUUGGGUGAGUUGUGAUUUUUCCGAACGUGUAGCUUUUUACGGAAUUGGAAUCGGAGGUCCGGAAGUCCUCCAACGGCGGAAAAUACGGAGAAUUCUGCAUUCUGCUUCGGUGUGAGCGCAGGAACAGCUUUCUGUCUUGCGUUAAACGGUAACCCAGGGUGUUAACCGGUUAACACUGUUAUGAAUUAUGAGAAAUGCUGUCUGUCUUGCGUAUAACCGGGUUAACCAGGGCGUUAAACGGUUAACACUGUUUAAAUGUGCCAGGAAGCGUGUUUUGUGUUGCGUUAACCGGUUAACCAGGGCGUUAACCGGUUAAACACUGUUGGAAAGUGGAAAAAAAUGAUAUUUAAAUAUUGUAAACAAUUGAAGAUUUGGCCUAUAUUGGUGUAUGAUAUAGAGGGAUCAAUUUCCCGUUGUUUUUGAGCAGUGUAGGUAUUAGUAGAGUGUGUAAUACUGGUGAUUGAUUAUGUGGCAUGAAAAUGAUGAUUCUGUAUAAUUGGUUAUUGAUGAUGUUGAUUGGUGUGCAUAAUAUUGUGAAUAUAUCUAUUAUGUAUGCUAUUGUGAAUGGACUGUUUAUGGCUAGAGUGUGAGAUAUGUCCAUUGUGGAUUGUUUGAUGUUGCAUGCUAGGUGAUUUAGCGUGCAUAGUAUGGCCUUUAUGGUGGUAGCUAAUUUCCAUGGUGAGGAAAAUUAGUGAUUGAGUUAUUGUGGAUUGUUGUUGAUGUUUGCAUGCUAGGUGAUUUUAGCGUGCAUAGCUAACCCUUGGGGUGGUAGCUAAUUCCCAUGGUGAGGGAUUAGUGAUGUGAGUCACUAGGUCUCAAAUGAAUUGGGACUAGUGAGCUUGGUAGCCGUAUCUGGAUUUGAUCGGUGAGGUUGAACCAUGUGUUCACGAAUAGUCGGUACCGGCAUUGCAUGGAGUCUCAUUGCAUAAUGUUAUGUAUGACGUAUAAUAUGAAUGGAUGUAUUCCAUUAUUAUUACGUGUGUUUUAUGUUGGGUUGAGUAUGAUUAUGAUUUUUAGUGUGAUGUUGCCUUUGCUGAAUGUGUGAUCUGAUUUGGGUGAUGAAAUGUGUUAAAUUACUUAGCAUUACAUGAUAUUUUAUAAUGCUUAUUAUAUCGAUUGGAGGAACUCACCCUUACAAAUAUUGUUCAGGUAACGAGCAGUGAUUGAGUAAGAAGCUAGUGUUUGAAGCCUAGUGUAGUCCUUUUAGUGGGUCAUGCUCUGUAGAUGUAACAUCGGGGACGGGAUGUUUUACCUUGAUUUCAUUUUGGUUGUUGAAUAAGUUUACAUGUAUAUGUGUUACAUGGUUUGCAUGAUUGAUUAGGAUCCUCUAUCCGUGCAAUUGUGCAAGAUGGUUUAUUUUGCUUAUUUAAAAAUGAGCAUGACAAACUAUUUUGGUGAAUGGUGUGAAGUGUCAAGUGUGACACCCUUAAAUUGCAUAUCUACUCUGAUUUAUAUUUGUUGAAUUAAUUAAUUAUUGGGGUAUUUUAGAAGGGUGUUACAAAGAGCUUGAACAUACAUAGUCCGGAUUGACUAAGAAUAGGGCAAGAAGAAUAUCCUAGUCGAGGAACCCUACUUUGUAUGGGUAAAAGAAAGGGAUAGGGUUGUCAAUAUGCCUUUCCUGUUUGACCCUUCUUCAUUCCUGUUGAUUCCCGAGCCUAAGCCUAUUCUGCAAAAGGACAUGGACAAGCUUAUCGACCAAAUCAAAGAGCUUGAGUUGGAAAACACUCAAUUACGAGUCCACGUCUUGGAAGACAAGGGUAAGCAAGUCUGUGAAAAGUUUGCAGAUACCAAAAAGAGACUUCGAGAAGUCAAAGGCCAGAGAGUUUGGGUUGGUGGAGCUUUACAAGGAGCUAAUUAUGAGAUAGACUUUUGCAAUGACAAGUUGUAUAAAAUGUACUGAGUCAUUAAGGACCUUGAGAAGACCGUUGAGAGGUCUAAUGCUAUGAAGAAAGAAGCUAUAGAGGAUUACGAAGCCCAAAUCUUCGAGCUUACGACCACUCUAAAGGAGUGUAAGGAUCUCUUAGAUAAGGAACAACUAGAGAAGGAAAAGAUUCACCGAAGCUUCUUGUGAGAGCAGUUCAAUCAUGGACGAGCCUGCAAACAAAUCAAAAAUCUGAAGAUGGGAAUCUGUGAUCAAGCAUACAUGAAGUUGCAAAACCAGUGCAGACAUUGGGAGGAGUGAUGCCAUGGAGCCGAAGCUUCUAUUGCUUAAAGGGAUGAAAUCAUCCAUAACCUAUAAACCCUUUACAAUGAGUGGAGGGACAAAUACGCCAACAUGGAGGUGCUAACGAAUUACGCUCUCCAAUACUUUUCUGACAAGUUGAAGGAAGUUGAUGUAAUCAUGUGCCCAGAUAACACCCCUAAAGAGGUCUACCAUUUCGUCAAAUUCUGCAAGAAGAUGAUGGUCGAACUCAUCAUCGACAUUGAGGCUCUCCGCAAGUCUCAAGGGGUCACUUUUAGGGCCGACAUCUAGUUUGAUUAUUUGUCUCAAAUCGAUUGUACUUUACAAUUCCCUUGUAUUUGUAAUUCAUGUGAUUUCCUUUCAAAGGAUGAAUGGAGCUUAUGUGGUUCACUUUGUGUGCUUUCCUUUAUUCUUGAUUGUAAACGUAAAUUGUUGAGUAUUUCUUGCAAUGAAACAACAUGAAUAACUAAAGAUAUUUGCAUUAACAAAAAUAAUAAACAUUCAUGCAUCAUUUGCAUCUUUCAAAAACAUAAAAAGAAAACUCAUUCGUCCACCCUUUUCUCUGAUCAGAAAUGACACUUCCAAGCUGACUUUCCGAUACAACACGCGAAGACACCAAAAAGUCAUCAUGGAUCAUCUCGAACAAAACCAAACAGCGCUCCGAGAAGAAGUAUCACAAGUGAGGUCCCAAAUGGGGCAGUUGAUGGAAAAGAUAUAAGCAGUCGCUCGAGGCCAAGAGAUGAUAGCCAAUAUGCAAGAUGAAAUGAACCAGCGUGAUCAUAUUGUCGUCCCCCCUCCAAUCCUCCUGUCAUAGAGAAUCCAGUACCUCCUCCUCAAUGAAACCCUGUCGUUCAUAUAGGUGCACCUGACGGUGUCCCUCCCGUUACUCUUAACCCUUUUGUCAUUGAGAUUGAUGACCACCAAUAUGCUUUCUUCAGCCCUAGGGCUACCUCCAUGUACGAAGCUUUUGGUCCCACAACCAAUGAAGUGGAGAAGAAAGUAAAGGCCAUCGAAGAGUAACUGAAAGCAAUAGAAAGUACUGAUGCAACUGAUAUGCUUGGGUUCCUAGUGUGGUCAUUCCUGCGAAAUUCAAAGUCCCAGACUUUGAAGAGUAUAAAUGCACCAGUGAUCUGAGGACACACAUUCAGGCAUAUUGUUGGAAAAUGGCCGCCUACUCUAAUGACGACCGACUCCUAAUUCACUUUUUUCCAAGAUUCACUAAGUGAAGCAUCAUUAGAGUGGUAGAUGUAGCUUGAGGGUACCCAUACAUGUACUUGGAGAGAAACAGCCAAAGCAUUCCUCAAACAUUAUCAGUACAAUAGUGAUAUGGCGCCGAACCGCACACAAUUGUAAAAUUUAAUGUAGAAGUAUGAGGAAACCUUCAAGGAGUAUGCUUAGAGGUGGAGGGAGCUUGCACCCAGAGUGAAACCUUCGUUGCUAGAAUGAGAGUUGAUAGACAUGUUCAUGGGCAACUUACAAAGCAUGUAUCUCGAUAGGAUGGUAGGGAGUACAUCCUCCAACUUUUUUGAUUUGGUUUUGGUUGGCGAGAGGAUUGAGAACAUGAUCAAAAUGGGUAAAAUUUAGAAUUCUGCGAGUACGUCUGGCAUGACAAAGAAACCUCUCGUCCCAUAUGGAAAGAAAAGGGAACGUGGAACUAACAUCGUCACAGUUAUUUGAGCGAGACCUCCAACAUAUCAAGUUACAUAUCAAUAAGUAGUAGUCGUGGCCCAUGUCCAACAAAUUCAACAACAACCUUUCACAAUACCAGUUCAAUAGCAAUAACAUUAACACUAUCGGUAAUCGCAACAACAACGUUAUCGACAACAACAUCAACAACGUCAUCAACCACAACAACAACAACCAUAAACACAAUAUCAGCAACAACAAAAAAUAUUAAGAAGACCCGAAAGAAGGUUUGACUCAGUUCCAAUGUCGUACAAUCAUAUUAUAUCGUAUCUUUUGAGAGGAUCACUUGUACAACUAAGGGAGUAAGGCCCCCUCCCUCGGUUCUUCCUCACAGAUAUGAUGUAAAUGCCCGUUGCGAGUUCCACUCUGGAGCUCCCGAGCAUUCCAUUAAGAAUCGUAAAGCUUUGAAGUACAAAGUACAAGAUCUAAUUGAUACAAAGGCAAUCACGUUCGCGCUCAACGGACUGAAUGUAAACAACAAUCCCAUGCCUCCGCACAACAAGGUAAAUGUGAAUAUGGUAGAAAUGGACUAUGGAAGAAGGCUGAUAACCUCUAUCGAUGAACUGAAAACUCCACUUAUUAAAAUCAAGAACGUGUUGAUAAAGAGUGACACAUUUCCAAUUUGUAGAAUAACUUGUGAAAUUUGCUUAAUUGACCCUGAACAGUGUGACACUUUGAAGACCUCCAUUCAGAGCUUGAUGGAUCAAAGAAUAUUGUUAAUAGACCAUCCCUUUACAAUCAAUGAAGUAUCCACUCUUGAAAUACCAUUCGAUGAAGUGCCACAUUUGCAGAUUCCAUACAAUAUUUCCCAAAUGACUAUCUCAGUAACUCCUAUUGCUCUUAUGGUGAUAACAAACCUAACACAGUUCCCUUAUGACAACACGAAGGUAGUUCCGUGGGUGUUUGACUCCACAGUAUAUAUCCAUGGCCAAAAGAUGCAAGAAAAGCCUAUGAAGUCUAAUGACCCAAUAGUAAGCAUAGCUGGUACCAGUGGUGUAACUAGAAGCGGUAGAACCUUUGCUCCCACAUCUCCCCCGGUUGACAAAAGCGGCCCUUCAGCCCAAGACAAAGGAAAACAGGUUGAGGACGCCCAGAAGAAGCCAAAUUUGAAGGUGGAGAAAAAUAAGAAAUGGGGGUUUUAAUUAUUUUCACAAUAAUUAAAAACUUUUGCAACACCACACACACAAAAUAAAUGCUAACAACACAAAGAAUUUAUCCUGGUUCGCUUGAAAUUCAAAGUUACUCCAAUCCACCGGCCAAGGUGAUUUCGACUUCAAUAAGGACUUAAUCCACUAAUCUCAACAUAUUACAAAAAUAUGUCUAAGAGUUUAGCAACCUCCUAGCCUUCUCAAGUCUACAAACCUAAACAAGUCACUUGAGGAGUUACAACCAAUUUCAAGAAUUAUAAGUGUUUUAUUCAAUGCUUCUAGAUAAGAAGUAUAAGCGCACUUAGAGAACAAUGAAAGAACAACCACACAAUUUUGAGCAACAACUUUUGUAUCGAAAUUGAAUAUUACAACAAUGAUGGUGGAAGAUGUGAAAAUGUUGUAGUGUAUCGAGAUUUUUUUCAGAAGGUUGUGACGAGGCCUUUAUAUAGCUUUUAGAGAUGAUACUGUUUGAGGGAAAUCAAUGGAGAUCUCAUGCCAGCUAUUGGAGUUAAUGAUAGUAAAUUUCUUGUCCUUUCCGUAACAAUCUUGGACAUAAUCCAUUGUUUCCUUAAAAGGAAUUGUACUACACUUUGAAAGCUUACAUAGUAAGUUUCUGAUCCGGUGAUAUCAGAUAGCAUGUUGGACGUGUAUUAGAGUAAGCAUGAUCAAAGUCUUUGAGCUAGAGUCCAGGUAUUUCUUGAAGUCUUCAGAUAUUCUCUUGGAGAGUCUUCAGAUAUUCUCUUGCAGAGUCUUUAGAUAUUACUUGCAGUCUUCAGAUGUCAGAGUUGAACUACAACAUCAGAUUGUUCAGGUAAUUACUCCUGAGAUGCAUUCUGUUUGGAGUCAGAUUUGAUUUCUCUUUGUGUUGGUUCAACUUUUCUGGACUGGUGCGGAUGUCACAUAUUCGUUUCCUCAGAGUCAUUUUAACUUAGAAUCCUGCACACUUAAGAAAAAUAUUAGGGUACCAAAUUGUUUCAUUCUUUGUUAUCAUCAAAACUUAGAGAUAUAUUGCAGAAUCAAAAUCUUGUUCUAACAACCUCCCCAUUUUUGAUGAUGACAAAACUAAGAAUUUUGAUGAAACAAUAAGUACUUUCAGAGAUAAAAAUGAUCAGAGUCUGAUAGAGAAUGACUCCCUUUGAGAUUAGCAAUCUCCCUAUGAGUUUGAUACUUAAGGAAAUUUUUAAAGAAUUUAGUAUUAGAUAAUUUCUUACCAGAUCUUCUUAGGUUUCUUGCCUUGAUUUAUUAGUUUCUCAGAUAAAAAUUCAUUUUCCCUUUGUUCUGAUAGAUCUUGUAAAAAGACUUAGACUAUGCAAUGAUUUUAUGUCAGAAUGUAAGCAGUUCAUUUCUGAGAGUUAGAUACGUUAUUUCAUCAAAAGGACUUUUAUUUAUUUCUCCCCCUUUCUGUCAUACUCAAAAAGUAAUAAACACAAAAUUUUCAUUCAUAUGUAAAAUUAUACAGAUACAUAAGGAAGCAGAAGAUAAAGCCUCAGAGACAAAAACACUUAGAAAAAAAACAUAAAAAGUCCUAGAGUGCAUAAGGGUUUAGAGGAUGAGACAUCCUCUGAAGAAGUUGAGCUAGCAGAUUUUGUAUGUUGGAGUUGACUUGGUCAUGCUUAUCGAGUCUAGCUCUGACUAGUUGUUGUUCUUUAUGUAACUCUUCCAGAGUCCUGAUGACUAAGGGAGCAAGUUCAGUUGUUGAUGACUCUCCUUGAGUCAGAGCAACUUCUGUUGUCUUCGCAACAUCUUCAACAGCUUUCUGAGCAGUUUCAACGGCCAAGGCUGCUUCAACUUCAACUUUUUCCCUGGUUGCAGCUUCUGUAACAACUUUCUUAGUUGCCUCCCUAGUAGCAGCUUCAGCAGCUACUUUCUCCACAGCUUCUCUCUCCGCCUUCUCAGCUGCCUCCUUAGCCAGAUGAACCUCCAGCUUAUCUUUAGCAUUUCUGAUAAAGUCAUUUCUGACUUGUUCAGACAGACCCUUCAGCUUGAAGACUUCAGAAGUCAUCCACCUGAUGAACCCGUUCCAAUGAGUCCUUACUUCAUAAGGAUUGUCAUUGACACUGGAUUCGUCAGAGAGCUUCUUGAGUCUUGAAGCGGAACUCUCUAAGAACUUAGCAAGUGCCUCAUUAAGGGUAGGUAUGAUGAGGGCAAGUUCAGGUUUUAGGAAGGGGUUCAGAGGGUUCUGGAAUAGUUAUAGGGGGUUCAAGUAUGGUUUCAUAGGGUUCUAGUACAGACUGAAUCUUUUUAGAGUUAGUUGUGGCCUGAAGUUCUUCAUGGUUCGGGGAGGUUGGCUCAGGGUUAUCUGAACUAGAGUGUUUAGAGUUGGAAGUUAGGUCAUAAUAAGGGGGAACUGGGGUUAGAGGAAAAGGGUGGUGAUAUAGGUUCGUUGAACAUAAUGGCUUCAAAGAUGGGAAUGGAUAUUGUGUGGAGGUUAAAUUGAGGUAAUGGAGGUGAAGAUGUGAUAGGGCCAUAGGUUUGGGGGUCAGAUGGAUUUGGUUCAGAAAAGGAUGGGUAUAGAAGGUGUUGGUUCAGAUGCGGAAGGGAGUAAAGAGGUUUGUUGUUGAGAUUUGGAUUUUUCUCUGGAAGCUGUAGUUUGUGUGGAAGGUGAAGUGGAGGAGGUAGUAACAGAGGUUGAGAGUGUGGGGGUGGUAGAGGGAUUGAUAAGUUAACCUUUCUAGAACCAGAAGUAAAAGGGGCUUCGGAGAUAGGAGACUUACUUGGUGUUGAAGAGCUCAGAGGCACUGGCUGCUUCUGAGUCGCUAAAGACUCUCCCAGCUUGAGACUCUUCUUCUUCUUCCUAGAUGGUUCCCUCUUUCUCUUCAGGAAGUUUGGGGGUUGAUCUGGAAGCCAAUCCAGGAUGAAACCAGAGAUGUCAACUCCUUGGGCUUCUAGAUCCUACAGGAAGCAAGCAAUGACUUCUGGAGGAUCUAUCUUUGAAAAGAGAUACAUCUCAUAUGUUAUUUCUCUAUGAUCCUUCAGAGCUUCCCAAGAUGUAAGUCUGGUGGGUUUGACUCUGACCUUGUCAAUCAGACCUAUGCUCUUCAAAUUCCUCCCAUUGAGAGGCUUCCCCAUGUCUAUAUUGAUGUCUUCCAUCAUAUUCAAGAAGAUGAGAUGGUCCACUAGACCACUCUCUAUCAGAAUGUCAUAAAUUAAUCUGCCCAGAGGGAUGUAGUUCCUGGGCUUCAUGUUGUUCCUUGUGUCUCUGACAGAAUCCUUUUGAUACUUGAAGAGGAAAGAAGGAAGCUUCAACUUCAGACCUUUAUGUAGACAAUAUAGAAUGCACUUUUAAUCUGUGUUGAUGUAGUAAGAAGAGCUGGAUGAAGGAUGAUGAUGAAUGGUUCCCAUAAUGAUCAGCCACACCCUCAGAUUCUUAUGAAUCUCUUUAUUCUUGGAUGUUUUUCCUUCUGGGUUUUGAGAGAAAAUGGUAGGGAUAACUUCCUGGGACAUUUAGCCCUAGGGUUUAUGUUAUAGAUUCUUCUUCCCCAAACCUCUUCUAUGUUCAGGAGCGCAACUAUUGAUUUCUCAGUGAUCACCAUUUUUAUUCCCAGAACAUGAGACAUAAUGUAGUGAUCAUCGUAAUCAGCGAAUUUCCAGAAUUCCUUGACCAAGUUUGUGUAGAUGGGGCCAUAAAGUCGGUUAAAUUAAGUAAGCCACCCUUGAUUCUUCAGUUCUCGUGUUAAAUCCAUUCUAUUUUCUUCGAGGUUGUCAAAAUCUACCAACAACUCACAAAGAACUUCAAGCUUUUCAAAGAGAGUUGAAAGAUUGAUGUGAGCAGGACGAUCAAGAACAUGAGGUUCUUGAUAGGAGGUUGUUGAAGGAGCAACAGUAGGGGUUGCAACUUGUUGUGAAGCUUCAACUUGUUGUUCAGUGGUAUUCAUCUGUUAAGAGAAUUCAAAGACCUGUUGUUAUUGAGGAUUCAUGAUAUUAUUGUGAAGGAGAUAAAGAUCGGUUGUAGAGAAGUUGAUUUUAUGGGUUUGUGUAAGUUGUGAGUAGUAAAAGUGUGAAUGUGGGAAUCGUGGAAGUAUAUAUACACACAUUAAAAAUAUGCAAAACGACAGCGUUAGCUGAGAGGGAACAUAAAAAUUAAUUAUUUGCUAAAAACCGAGUUUUGACAAGCGUGGGAAGAAUUAAAUGCAACUAAUGAUGGGGGUCUAAUCUCAAGAUUUGCACACUGCUCGAGGGGAUCUCAACAGUUUGGCCCUUGAGUUUUGAGCUAGACAAGUGUCUAGAAGAUCUAGAGUCACACGUUUGAGGGACCAUGUUUUGAUGUUUCUGAAGUCAAGAAUACCAAAAGGUUUUUGACUAAGGAGGUUUCUGAUAAAUAUAUCUUCUAACAUGUAGAAGUGUCAGACUCAGGAUUAGAUAAACAUCAUAAACUUGAGUCAGAGUCUAAUUUAACAUCUGAGUUGAGAAGCACAUGUUCAGAUUCAUUGUGGGUAAUCUGCCAUGUUUAAAAUUUUCAGAAUGAAAAGAAAUUUAUCUUCAACUAAGGUUUUUGUAAAAAUAUUAACACAUUGAUGGUCUGUAUCUAUAAAUUUUAAAAUAAUCAUCCCUUUCUGAACAUAGUCUCUGAUAAAAUGGUGUUUAAUUUCUAUGUGCUUCGCUCUAGAAUGUAAAAUUGGAUUCUUACUUAAGCAUAUAGCAACAACAUUAUCACAAAAGAUAUGGAUGUUACUCUCAUAAAUAUGAAAGUCCUCAAGCUGAUUCUUCAUCUAGAGCAUUUGAAAGCUGCAUAGUGAAGCUGAAACGUAACCUGCUUCUGUAGUUGACAAUGCAAUCGUUGAUUGUCUUUUGCAUGCCCAUGAGAUGAGGUUUCCUCCCAAAAACUGACAGCUACCAUAUGUGCUUUUGCGUUCCAACCUAUCUCCAAUGUAAUCUACAUCAUAGUAUCUAAAAAGCCUGUACUUUGAUGUUUUCUUAUACAUCAAGCCAAGGUUAGGUGUUCCUUUCAGAUACCUAAGGAUUCUCUUAACAACAGUUAAGUGAGUUUCCCUUGGAUCUGACUGAAAUCUAACACAUAGACAUACACUGGAUAAUAUAUCUGGACACGAAGUAGUCAGAUAAAGGAGAAAACCUAUCAUACUACGAUCGAGUUUUUGACAAACCUUUUGAUGUACCUCUUCCUUCUCCAGAAUGCAAGUAGGAUGCAUGUGAGUCUUGGCUGGCUUGCUUUUUGACAUGUCAAAUUUCUUCAAAAGAUCUUUUAUGUAUUUGCUUUGAUAGACAUACGUAGCUUCUGAUGUUUGCUUGAUUUGAAUGCCCAGAAAGAACUUUAGUUCUUGCAUUAGGCUCAUCUCAAAUGCUGCCUGCAUUAACUCAGAAAAUUCUUGGCAAAUAGAGGGGUUAGUAGAACCAAAUAUUAUAUCAUCAACAUAAAUCUGACAAAUCAUAGGAUCAUUUUUGAUGUUUUUGCAUAAGAGAGUGAAGUCCAUUUUGCCUCUGAUAAAAUCAUUUUCCAGAAGAAAUGAGCUAAUCUUUCAUACCAAGCUCUGGGAGUUUGUUUCAGACCAUAAAAAUAUUUCUUAAGUUUGAAAACAUGUUCUAGAAGUUUUGAAUUUUCAAAGCCAAGAGGUUGAUGGACAUACACUACUUCAGAAAUGUAACUAUUUAGAAACACACUUUUGACGUCCAUCUGAUAUAGUUUAAUGGAAUAAUUUACAGCAAAGGAUACAGUGAGGCGAAUAGAUUUUAACCUUGCGACUGGAGCAAAGGUUUCAUUGUAGUCAAUUCCUUCUUGUUGACUAUAACCUUGUGCCACCAUCCGUGCUUUGUUUGUGAUGACUUCACCCUUUUCAUUUAGCUUAUUUUUGUAUACCCAUUUAGUUUCAAUCACAUGGGUUCCCUUGGGUCUUAGUACAAUAUCCUAAACGUCAUUCUUGGAAAACUGAUCAAGUUCUUCUUUCAUUUCCAAAAUCCAUUCUUUAUCUUGAAGAGCUUAUUCACAUGAUGUUGGCUUUAUCAAAGAUACUAGUCCCAAAAGUGUUUCUUCAGAGACUUUGAAUGUUGGUCUUGUUCUGACAGGUUCAUCCUUGUUUCCCAGAAUUAGUUCUUUAGAGACAUUCUGCCUAUUUCUUUGUCUUUUCUUAUUGAUUGUGAUUUCAGGUGCUUCUGAAGUUCCUUUUUCUGCUUCUUCAGAACCAAUUGCCUUUUCUUCAGGACCUGCAAGUGUGAUCUCCAGAUCUGUAAAUUUCUCAACUAGCUUUGACUUUUCAGAAUCAAGUUUGUCAUUAAAUUUGACAUGAAUUGAUUCUUCCAUAAUUUGUGUUUCUCUAUUGUAUACUCGAUAUCCUUUAGAACAUUCUGAUUAUCCCGACAUAAUACACUUUUGUGCCUUAGAGUCAAACUUAUUCAGAUUGUCUUUAGUGUUCAAAAUAAAAUAAGAGCAUCCAAAAGGAUGAAAGUAAUCAAUGUUGGGUUUUCUUCCCUUGCACAGUUCAUAAGGAGUCUUCUCCAGAAUAUGUCUGAUAGAGAUUCUAUUAUGAAUGUAACAUGCUGUAUUCACAACUUUUACCCAGAAGUGCUUAACCACAUUAGUCUCAUUGGUCAUGGUUCUGGCCAUUUUUUUGGAGAGUCAUAUUCUUCCUUUCUACAAAUCCAUUUUAUUGUAGAGUUCUAGGACAUGAGAAAUCAUGGGAUAUUCCAUUAGAGUCAAAAAGUUCUUCAAAAAUUCGCCACCAUGAUCACUUCUGACUCUGAUUAUCUUAGAGUCAAAUUCAUUUUUCACUUUUGAACAGAAACUGGUGAACACAGAAUGUGACUCAUUCUUGUGCCUUAAGAAUUUCACCCAUGUCCAACAACUAUAAUCAUCAACAAUGACUAGUCCAUACUUCUUACCAUUGAAUGACACUGUCUUAACAGGUCCAAAAAGAUUAAUCUGUAGAAGUUACAGAGGUUUAGAGGUGGAAACAACAUUUUUGGUUUUGAAAGUGGUUUUAGAAAAAUUCCCCUUGUGACAUGCUUCACAAAUAGCAUCUGAAGAAAACUUCAUAUUAGGUAGGCCUCUGACGAACUCUAGUUUGUUUAGCUGAGAAAUCCUCCUCAAGCUAAUGUGACCGAACCGUCUAUGCCACACCCAUUUCUCUUCAUUAACAGACAUUAAGCAUUUUACAUUUUGGUUUUUCAAUUCUGAAAAUUUUAUUUUAUAAAUGUUGUUUUUCCUCUUUCCAAUGAAAAGGACUUUGCCAUUUUUCUGAUUAACUGCUUUGCACGUUUUUUUAUUAAAGAUAAUAUCAUAACCGUUAUCACUUAAUUGACUUAUGGAUAACAAAUUAUGCAUUAAUCCAUCAAUAUAAAGAACAUCAAAAAUAGAGGGAAGAGACCUGUUACCAACUGUUUCAGAUCCUCUGAUUCUUCCUUUAUGAUUUCCUCCAAAGCCUACAAAAUCAACAUCUUUAAGUUCCAGGUUUUGGAACAUAUGCUUUCUUCACGUCAUGUGUCGCGAGCAUCCAGAGUUAAGGUACCAUGACUGGUGUUUUUAACUCCACUGCAUAGGAUAUAUCCAACAUACACUAUUUUAUCUUUUGGUACCCAGAAUCUUUUGGGUCCUUUAGGAUUAGUUCUUCCAGAGCUUCUGAAAAUUUUGGGCUUCCUAGCGUUACUAAACUUUUGUGUCUCUGCAGGUGUAUAAUGAUAAGAAAAAGGAUAUUUUGACUUGUUUUCUAUAGAAGAUUUCAUAUCAUCUUCACCAGAGUCAUAACCAAUUCCUCUUUUUCUAUUAUGACUUACACCAUAUAUCAUAGAAGCCAUUUUGCUUCUUUCUAGACCAUUGUUCAAAAAUUUCUGAAAAGCUUUUUCAUAUUUGUAUAUGAUAGUGUUAGAAGUUGGUGGAGCUUUAGAAGGAGUUUCUUCAAGUUAUGAACAUUUCUUGGUUGAAAAUUCGUUUUCUCUUUCAAGGAUAAAAUUAUUUUCUUUUAGUUCAGAAACUUUUUUCUCAAGCUUACCACACUCUUCAACAGUCUCUUCAUGAACCCUUUUUAGGUUCUUGAAUUUCUGUCGAAGCUUCUAAUACAAACUCAGAGAUUCUGAUAGACAAGCUUCCAGAUCAAAACGAGAAAAGUCAGAGAAUACCUCUUUAGAGUCAGACUCUGUUUCAGAUGAACUUCCAGAGGUAGUGGCCAUGAAUACUACGUUCGCUUGUUCCUCUUCUGAAUCAGGUUUUGAAGCUUCAGAUUCAGAGUUAUCCCAUGUUACCAUGAGUCAUUUCUUCUUUACUUUGAAUGAGUUCUUCUUGAAGUUUUCCUUUUUGGAGCUAUCCUUCUUUAGCUUUGGACAUUCAUUUCUGUAGUGCCCAGGCUCUUUGCAUUCAUAACACGUUACUUCCUUGUUGGGUAUGCCUCUAGAGGUUGAAUAUGAACGUUCUCCCUUAUGUCUGAGUCUUCUGAAGUUGUUUUGUCUUUUUCUCCAGAGCUGUUUGAUUCUUCUGGAAAGAAGAGAUAAUUCCUCUUCAUCAUCAGAAUCUUCAUUCUCAGAGUCAUCAUCUUUUUCCUCUUCAGUUUGAAAGGCUUUGUUCCUUUCUGGCUUUCUUCUUUCUGAUAUAGACUUUAGAGCAACAUAUUUGAUUUUAUUCUGAGGUUCAUCUUCUUCUAGCUCUAUUUCAUGACUUAUGAGGGAGUUGAUAAGUUCUUCAAGACUUAUGUUAUUCAGAUCCUUGGAUAACUUCAGAGCAGUAACCAUAGGUAUCCACUUCUUGGGAAGACUUCUGAUUAUCUUCUUAACGUGAUCUAUUGUAGUAUAUCCUUUGUCCAGAACCUUGAGUCAUGCAACUAAGGUUUGGAACCUUGAGAGCAUCACUUUAACAACUUCACCAUCUUCCAUUCUGAAGGCUUCACACUUCUGGAUUAAGGCCAAAUCCUUAGUCUCUUUAGUUUAAUUAUUGCCUUUGUGCGUCAUUUUCAAGGAUUCAAAGAUAUCUUUGGUUGUUUCCUUAUUGGUUAUCUUCUCGUGGUCGUUGUAGGAGAUAUCGUUUAACAUAAUGGUUCUUGCUUUAUGGUGAUUCUUGAAAUAGGAAUAUCAAGUUCAGAGUUGAGUAUCUCAUAACCAUUUGUAACCAUAUCCCAGAGAUCAACAUUGUAGCCUAGGAAGAAACUUUCAAUUUUGUCCUUCCAGUAGUCAAAUUUUUCUCCACCAAAAACUGGAGGUUUUGCAUUGUAGCUAUCUCUUUCAUUUGUGUUAGCCACGAAGUUUUUCUCACCUUGGGUCUCUCUACAUGGUUAAGUGUUUGAUUCAAAAAUAAGUAACUGAGCCGAAGCUCUAAUACCAAUUGAAGGUAGAGAAAAACAAAAAAUGGGGGGUUUGAAUUAUUUUCACAGUAGUUAAAAACUUUUGCAGCACCACACACACAAAAUAAAUGCUAACAACACAAAGAAUUUAUUCUGGUUCGCUUGAAAUUCAAAGUUACUCCAGUCCACCCGACCAAGGUGAUUUCGCCUUCAAUAAAGACUUAAUCCACUAAUCUCAACAAAUUACAAAAAUACGUCUAAGAGUUUAGCAAUCUCUUAUCCCUCUCAAGUCUACAGACUUAAACAAAUCACUUGAGGAGUUACAACUAAUUUCAAGAAUUACAAGUGUUUGACUCAAUGCUUCUAGAUAAGCAGUAUAAACACACUUUGAGAACAAUGAAACACAACCACAUAAUUUGAGCAACAACUCUUGUAUGGUCAGAUAGCAUGUUGAACGUGUAUCAGAGUACACAUGAUCAGAGUCUUUGAGCUAGAGUCUAGGUAUUUCUUGCAGUCUUUAGAUAUUCUCUUGCAGAGUCUUCAAAUAUUUUCUUGCAGAGUCUUUAGAUAUUACUUGCAGUCUUCAGAUGUCAGAGUUGAACUACAAUGUCAGAUUCUUCAGGUAAUUACUCCUCAGAUACAUUAUGUUUGGAGUCAGAUCUGAUUUCUCUGUGUUGGUUUAGCUUUUCUGGACUGGUGUGGAUGUCACAUAUUUGUUUCUUCAGAGUCAUUUUAACUUAGAAUCCUAAACACUUAAGAAAAAUUAUAGGGUACCAAAUUGUCUCAUUCUUUGUUAUCAUCAAAACUUAGAGAUAUGUUGCAGAAACAAAAUAUUGUUCUAACAAGAUUCUCUAGCAACCAGUGAGGUAGACGAAUUCUUGCGCAUCAUAAAGAAAAGUGAUUAUCGAGUGGUUGAACAACUCAACCAAACUCCAUCCAAUAUCUCUAUGUUGUCUCUUCUUAUAUGCUCCAAUGCACACUGUGAUUCCUUGGUCAAAUUUUUAAAAGCUGCCCACGUGCCGUAAGAAAUCUCCGUAUGCCAAUUCGAAGGAGUAGUUAACAAUAUAGAUACCAGUCUAAGCUUAGGAUUUAGUGACGAGGAGCUCCGCGUCGAGGGAAGAAAUCAUAAAAAAGCUCUUCGCAUCUCUAUUGAGUGCAUGGACACAGUUCUGUCAAGAGUCUUGGUGGACAUUAAUUCCUCUUUCAAUGUGAUACCCAUGAGUUCUCUUGCUAAGUUGACCAUUGAAGGACUCGUAAUGAAGCUGAGUGAGCUAAUAGUAAGGGAAUUUGAUGGAUCAAGGAGGAUUGUGAUAGGAAAAGUAUAUCUUCCUAUGAAGAUUGGCCCCCCAUACUUUCUUCAUUACUUUCUUUGUGAUGGACAUCCAUCCAGCUUAUAGUUGCCAACUUAGAAGACCAUGGAUUCAUUCAGCCAAAGUCGUUACUUCAAUGCUCCAUCAAAGGUUGAAAGUUUUUGUGAGCAACAAAUUGGUGGUCAUGGAAGGUGAAGAGUAUAUCAUGGUGAUUCAUCUCGCGUCAUUCUGAUACGUCGAAGGAGAAGGAGAAAUGAAAGAAAUUCCAUUUCAGUAGUUUGAAAUUAUCAAUGUCGAAAUGGGUUGCCCUAUAAGGGAUGAAUUGAAAAAUGUUGAAUUUCCAAUGGCCUCCCUCAAAAUUCCUUGACUAUCAUAAGGAAUGGACACCCUAAAGGAUGGGGAAGAAUGCUUGAGUUGCUUAACAAUAAAGACCGCUUUGGAUUGGGAUACAAUUCCCAAAACUUGAAAAAGCCAACGCCAAUAGCUGAGAAGGGAAAAAUUAUCCCAUUAUCAGAAUACUUCUCAAGUGUCUGGCACCUUGUCGACGACCAUAUCUGUGUCUCAGAAGAAGAUGUUGAAGAAGAAGAAGGAUUGGUAUUCAAGAAGACCGAAGGAAGAGGUGCCACCAAAUGGACCGUGUUGGAAGUACCUGAAGUGACAAUGAUCAAGAAUUAAUCUCCUUUGUUUGUUUUCCCUUUUUAUCAAUAAAAAGAACCCAUGUUAUGCCCAAGGAGUGGGGGAAUCAUUUGUAGGGCCUCCAUGAAACUUCCCUUUUUUUUUAUCAAAUUAAUGAAAAAAAUCCACGUUUCGCAUUCAAUUUUGUGAUCUUUAUCUUUCAUUUAUUUAUUCACUUUUCAAAAUUGGCAAUAUUUUUUCUUGUUCUUAAAUUUCUUUUUCAAAUCAUUUUUCCUCUUUUCUUAACAAUAAAAGCAUGAAUCCUAAAUCGUGCAGAUCACCCUUGGUUACCACCAAUAACAAUGUUGCUAUAGUCUCAUAUGACUUCGAUAACCCAAUUAAUCACGUCGACAAGGACUACGGUGAAGAUUGCGAGCUCCCUAAAGAGUUAGCACGACUACUCAAGAAAGAGUCUAAGGUCAUACAACCGCACGAUGAAUCAGUGGAAACGAUCAACUUUGGAACAAACGAGAAGCUAAGAAAGUCAGAGUAGGCUCGACUCUACAAGCUCUUGAAACAUUACAUGGAUGUGUUCACAUGGUCAUACCAAGACAUGCCCGGUCUCUAUAUUGAUAUCGUGGUCCAUCAUCUACCUCUUAGAGAGGAGUGCACUUCUGUGAAGCAAAAGCUAUGAAAGAGGAAGUGUAAAAACAGCUCAAUGUUGAUUUUUAGCAGUCUCUAACUACCCUAAAUGGAUUGCCAAUAUCGUGCAUGUGCCCAAGAAGCACGGUAGAGUAAGAAUGUGUGUGGAUUAUAGAGAUCUUAAUAGAGAAAGUCCCAAAGACGACUUCCCAUUACCCCACAUCAAUGUGCUAGUGGACAACACCGCUCAAUUCUCUAUUUUCUCCUUUAUGGAUGGUUUCUCUACUUACAACCAGAUCCGAAUGGCUCAAGAAGAUAUGGAGAAGACUACUUUCAUAACCCCAUGGGGCACCUUCUGUUACAAGGUCAUGCCUUUCAGAUUAAAGAAUGUUGGCGUAACAUACCAAUGAGUCAUGGUCACACUCUUUUAUGAUAUGAUUCAUAGAGAGAUCGAGGUCUACGUUGAUGACAUGAUCAUCAAAUCCCAAACUGAAGAGAAACAUCUUGUCAUUCUAGAAAAGUUAUUCGAGAGGCUAAGGAAGUUAAAAUUAAGGCUUAAUCCCAACAAGUGAACGUUUGGGGUAAGAUCUGGCAAACUGCUAGGUUUUAUUGUCAGCCAACAUGGCAUUGAGGUAGAUCUCGAGAAGGUGAAGGCCAUACAAGUUAUGCCUGCACCCAAAACCUAGAAGAAAGUAUGAGGAUUCUUAGGUAGAUUGAACUACAUUGCUAUGUUCAUAUCUCACCUAACGACCACUUAUGAGCCAAUAUUCAAAUUACUCCGAAAGGAUCAAGCUAUCAUUUGUAAUGACGAUUGCCAAAAUGCUUUUGAGAGGAUAAAGGAGUAUUUGCAAGAACCUCCUAUUUUUAUGCCUAAUGUACCUGGAAGACCUCUGGUCAUGUACCUUACCGUUCUUGAAGGAUCUAUGGGAUGCAUCCUAGGCCAACAUGUUGAAACUGGUAGGAAAGAACACACAAUAUACUACUUAAGCAAGAAGUUCACCAAAUGGGAGAGUAGAUAUUUAAUGCUUGAGAAAACCUAUUAUGCACUAGCUUGGGCUGCCAAUCGCUUAAGGCAGUACAUGCUACUCAUACAACGCUGCUAAUCUCCCAGAUGAACCCAGUCAAAUACAUCUUCGAGAAAGCUGCUCUAACCGGUAGAGUAGCCCGUUGGAAAAUGGAUUUGACCGAGUACGACAUCUAAUAUAUCACUCAAAAGUCCAUCAAAGGGAGUGUAUUGUCUGACUAUUUGGCACAUCAACCCUUAGAAGACUACCAGUCUAUGCGCUUCGAAUUCCCCGACAAGGACAUAAUGCUAAUCAGAGACUACAACAUCCAUGUUCCCGAGGAAGGACCAGAGCCUGGAUCUUGAUGGACCUUGGUAUUUGAUGGAGCUUCUAACGCUCAUGGCAAUGGCAUUAGGGAAGUCAUCACCUCCCUUACACUAUGAGGUUGUGUUUCAAAUAUACAAACAAUAUGGCAGAAUACGAGGCUUGUAUCUUCGGUAUUGAAGCUGCAAUUGAUCUUAGGAUCAAAAUUAUUGAAGUAUGUAGAGAUUAAGCCUUGGUUAUUAGACAAGUCAAAGGAGAUUGAGACACUAAAGGUCACAAGCUCAUCCCUUACAAGAAGCAUGUCUUGAAAUUAAUCUCAUACUUUGACAAAAUUACAUUCAAUCACAUCCCUCGAGAGGAGAAUCAGCUAGCCGACGCAUUGACAACUUUGUCAUCCAUGUUUAAGGUCAAAUGGAAGAACGAAACACCAACUUUUCACCUUGACUACUUGGACGAGCCUGCCCACUAUUUGGUAGUAGAAGUUGGAGUUGACGUUCAUCCUUGGUUCUAUAACAUAAUGAGAUUCUUAGAGAGCCGAGAAUACCAUGAUGAUGCAUCCAUCACGGACCAGAAGUAUCUUCGGAAGCUAUCAUCCAAAUUCUUCUUAAGUGGAGGGGUAAUAUACAAGAGAAAUUAUGAUUCGGUCUUGCUAAGAUGUGUGAACAAGCAAGAAGCAAACCAGAUUAUAAUGGAAACCCGUGUGGGAUCUUUUGGGAUACGUGCUAGUGAACACACCAUGGUAAAGAAAAUUUUGAGGACCGACUAUUAUUGGAUGACUAUGGAGGUUGACUGUUAUCGCCAUGUCCAAACAUGCCAAAAAUGCUAUAUCUACUCCGACAAGAUCCAUGUACCACUAAAUAUCCUAAUGUUACCUUGGCCUUUUGCCAUAUGGGGCAUUGAUGUGAUCGAACGCAUGGAGCUAACUGCCUUAAAUGGACACCGCUUCAUCGUUGUAGCCAUUGACUAUUUCAUAAAAUGGGUGGAAGUUGUCUCAUAUGCCAACGUCACAAGACAAGUAGUGGCUCGAUUCAUAAGAAAGGAAAUUGUUUGCCGUUAUAGGGUCCCCAACAAGAUCAUCACUAAUAAUGGAUAUAACCUCAAUAACAAAAUGAUGAAAGAGCUUUGCCAAAUAUUCAAAAUUGAACAUCAUAACUCAUCACCUUAUAGGCCCAAGAUGAAUGUUGUUGUCGAUGCAGCUGACAAAAACAUCAAGAAGAUCAUGCAGAAAAUGGUGGAAACCUACAAAGAUUGGUACGAAAUGCUCCCGUUCGCAUUACAUGGCUAUUGUACCUUAAUAUGUACCUCCACUAGGGCAACCCCAUUCUCUCUUGUGUAUGGCAUGGAUGCAGUCUUGCCUGUUGAAGUAGAGAUUCCUUCUCUAAGGAUUCUGAUUGAUGCCAAGCUUGACGAAGUUGAGUGGGUACAAGCCCGGUUCGACCAACUAAACCUCAUCGAUGAGAAGCGCUUGGCAACCAUCUGCCACGCCUAGCUUUACCAAAAGCGCAUCAAAAUGGCCUAUGACAAAAAGCUAUUUCCUCGCAACCUCAAGGUCGGAGACCUCAUGCUAAAGAAGAUUUUUCCCAUUCAUACUGACCCAAGGGGAAAAUGGACACCAAACUACGAAGGUUCAUAUGUUGUAAGAAAGGUCUUCUCUUGAGGAGCCUUAAUCCUUUCAACUACGGAUGGUGAAGAUCUUCCAUCCUCCGUGAACGCGGAUGCAGUCAAAAAAUACUACGUUUAAGAAUAAAUAAAAAAGAAAAAAAGAAAAGGAAAGAGCCCGAUAAAUUGAAAACCCAAAAUGGCGACUUAUGCAUAAAUGGAUAUCCCAGUAGACUGAAAACUCGAAAGGAAGGUCUAGGCAAAAACUAGGGACUUAACAAAAUUGAGGGGCCGCAUCCUGCAAAUAAUCCUUCUUCAUUCCUCAGCAAGUCGAUCCAGUUGCUCCCCAGUGAGUCAAUUCAUUCACUCUUCUUCUAAAGCAAGAUCAAAGGACAAUCAAGAACAUAAUGACUAUAGCAGAGUUAGAACUUGGUGGAAAUCCGAGAUAUUUCUAUUGCCAUUAUAGUUUUUCAAUUUCUUUUUGCAAUCACCUCUUUUAGGAAUUUCCUCUUUAUACAAAUUACCCGUUUUUGGGACCAUUUAUCAAUAAAAUCAGUUCCCCCAUAUGUGCUCAAUAUUUUUACUUUUUCUGCUUUGUUUGCGAAAUGUGACCUUUUCUCAAAUUGAUAUCGCAGAGGAUUUUUUUUGGUAAAAACAAAUUUUUCAAAAAAAAACUUUAAGGGAAAACUUUGGUAAAAACAAAACUUGAAAGUAUCUACAGGUAACCAAAAACACGUUUGGUAUCCCCAGCCUGAAAAUACAGUGUAGUCCCUUGGAUUUGGCCAAUUAAAAAUUCCUCGACAGUAAUCCUCAGCUAUUGCACUUAAUGCCUGCUUGGGCAUCAGAAAUUUCGGUUUUCCAUUAUCGGGAAGUUAGUACACUCUCCCUAAACAACUCUAAGCCCAACCAUACUUGGCAUAACUAACAAACCUCGCAUUUGCACAUUCCCUUGCAGAAAUCCAAACAUGCAUCGGUAUCCUGCAUACAUAACAUUGCAUCAUAAGUAUCUUCAGAAAAAUUCAUCCCUCAGUUUAUACUCAAGUUGAUUCACCAGAAUUCAGAAUUUCCCAAACCGUUGUUGAGAGUUUUCCCCAGUAUAGUCAUCUUUCAUCCCUAAUAUUUCCCCAAACAUACUCAGGUAUUUCUAGUCGUUGCUAGGAAUCGUCACUGAACUGUUGCAUUCCCUCUCAACUAGUUUCCCCAGAAGAGUUAGGUACUCUUAGUUGUUGCUAGGAAUCAUCACUGAAAUUCUUAUCCCCCCGCUGAGUCAGGUAUUCUAGUGGUUGCUAAGAAUCGUCGUUGUAUUUCUUCAAUCACCUGAGAGUCAUUUCAUUUUCAAUCCUCCUCAGACAAAGUCAGAUAUUCCAGUCGUUGCUUGGAAUCGUCAUUGAACUGUUUUGAUUCUCUCCAAAUGUCUGGUAUUCCAGUCGUUGCUAGGAAUCAUCGUUGAACCUCUAUAUUUUCCUCAACAGAGUCAAGUGUUCUAGCCGUUGCUAAGAAUCGCCACUGUACCUUCUUGAGAAAUUUAUCCCCAAUCGAGUCUUGUAUUCCAGCCUUCGCUAGGAAUCGUCACUAAAUGAUUAUUUUCCCCACAAAGUCUGAUAUUCUAGCUGUCUCUAAGAAUCGUCAUCGUACCUUGUUUUUCACUAAUUGAUUGAUUUGUCAAUUUUCAUCUAUAUUCUAUUUUGUGAUUCUGAUUAAGUGUUGACUAAGUUUUGUCCAAAAAUCAUACAUAUUUUGUAUGUAAAGUAUUCGUUGUGUAAGUGUUGACUAAGUUCUGGUUAAGAUGAAGUGAUAUGCCUAAUUAUAAUGUAUAUUUAUUAAGUGAUGUAUGAAUAUAUGAAAUACAUAAUGAUAAUGUAUAAAUGAUGGAUAAGAUGUUGUGAAGUUGAGGUGUAAAAGUGUUUUUUGUUUUCCCAUAGAUGAUGAAAUAGUGGUGGUUAUGACCUGCAUUGAAUAUGGUACUCCUAAAGAGUAACAUACAUCAACAAGGGGAAGGACAAGACGUCAUGGGUUUUGACGUGGAUAUUAUUUUGUCACCAUACAUGUAGGGUAUGAUAAACAUAAUUUUAUGUUAGAAAAGUAGCCAACUUAUAGGGUUGAUAAGGUGCAUUUUCAAAUAGAGAUAAGUACCAUACAAGAUGUGGCACAAUAUCACUAGAGAGAAAUGACCAUAUGAUGCAGUAUCUCUUGAGAGAAGCACACUCAAAAUUGAAUUAUGGAAUGUAAUACAAUAUCACUUUGAGAAAAGUAUUACACAAGUAAAGUAUUAUAACUCAAUUCGUGUUGAAUACUUUCUUUUAUCAACAAAAUUGGGUUAAAAAGGAUUGAUUUGAUGUACAUCCCUUUUAUCCCAAAGUGUUCAGACACAAGUCAUAUCAGUUGUUUGUUUUAACACUUGUUUCCCUCCUAAAAACAAUUACAACCAAUCAAACAAUGUUUCUCCGCUCUAAAGCGAUCCAAAAUUUUUUUUCUUUAAAAUCAACUAACAUACAAUAUUUUAAUAGGCCAUACUUCGUGUUUUAUGAUUAGGAGAAAAUCAAAAUAAUAAGGUUAACAACAUUAUUUUGCAAAAUUAUCUAGAGGAAAUUGUUUUCUUAAAUGAAUGUCGUAGGAUGUUAAUACAUCCCCUACAUAUAAUCGAAUCAUAAACCUAAAUUUGGUUAUGAAGACCAUAUUUAUGUUCUUUAAGGGUCUUAUAAAUGUUUUCACUUUUUAAAUAAACUUUGGUGACGACUUCAUUAUUUUUCGAGGAUAUCUCGAAUAUUUUUACAUCGCAACAACCAGAAGGUUUAGUUCUAGAAUCACCUAACAUGACACCACGUGCCACCACAAAUACAAGAAGAAGUCCUGGAGUGAAUCACUGUUCAACAUACUUUUAUACUUUUAUUUUAAGCCAAAUAUUGAUUUAAGCUAUUUUAUAACCUCAUUACAUAAUAUACAAUAUACUUUGUUUUUAGAUAAUGAAUUAUAUUUCUUAAUUCAAUUUGUAAAUCAAAGCGUUUAAUAUAUAACUAUCUUUGUAGGAUUGAUACUUUUCUUAUCACUUGAUAUUAGUUUCAUUGUGUAUACUUGCAUAAGUUAUUCUAACCAACAUGGCACAAGAAACUUGGAUAAGAAACAACGUGUUAUUGAUUCAAUGCAUGUAAUUUCAUCUAAUGACAUAAAAUAAAGCUUCAUGUUUCAAGGAAUAUUGAGCAAUAAACCACAUGAUUUUCGGUCUAAUGCUAAUUCAAAGUUUGUUCUAUUUGUGGCAUCGACAUUUAAAAGCAACCCUAAUGUUGUAUGAUUUUUGUUUUUGGAAUGCUAUGAAGUUAUAUUAAUACAUUAACUAAAUUUUCAUAUAGACAAAUAUCAUUUAAUACUCAGAACAUUGUAAUAGACACAAUAAACUCCACUACCAUAAGAUUGUCAAGGCAAUGUAGUAAUGAAGUGUAUCAAAUAUCUCUAAAUAUGCCAAGAAUGUCAUAAUCUAAUGUUAUAGGAUUGUUUCAAAAAAUGAUAUAAAUGUAAAUGUGGAGCCUAAUCAUGACGUCAAUUAUAUGCAACUUAGGAUAGAUAAUAUUCAACAAAGACCCUUGCAAUAUAGAAAUGCGAAGGUUCUAAAUAGAAAUAAUGCACAAGUUCAUAAUCUUGAUUUAAAUAGAUAAAAACAUAAUUUGGCUUAUUGAGUUAAAAAUGAGAGUAGUAUAAAUUGUGCUAACAAAAAUCAUAAGAAAUGAGUAAUUUUUAAAUUGUCUCCAUAUUAUUUGUUUUAGUUCCUAAAUAACCGAGGGAAUUAUAGUUUAGUCCAAACAAACAAACGACAUAAAGUAAAUAGGGGGUACACGUAACAUAAUUAAUUGUUUAGGUGAACUAUAGUGAAACCACGAAACAAACUAAAAUUUAUAAAAUAUAAGGAGAUAAGUGAUUAGGAUCCCAUUGGAAUCAUUUGUAUAUCUUUGUAUGGUUAAUCUCUGCUUGAAUCCAUAAUGAUCCCUUAAAUAUCAUGAUUAUUUUAAUAAUAUCUUGGUACAAUAUCUUCUUCAUUAUAUUAUAAUCUCUCAAUGUCUUGGGAAAAGUUGCAGGUGAGGUGAGGAAGGUUUGAAUGGACGUUAAAAUACCUAUGGCACAACUAAGUAUAUCAUGUGUCUCGCAUUAGAAAUAGUAUCUCAAUAAUAUUGGAUCCAAUCUCAUUAUUUGCAGCCAGUUCUUAACACAAUUUCAUAUUAGUUGACUAAUUCGUAAAUGAACAUAAAAUAUUAAAUAUAAAUAACUAAUUAAUAAUAAAAUAGGUUGAUAGUUACAAUGAAUAACUAAGUGGAUCACAUGGUUCACACAAAUAUAGAGAAAAUUGAUCAAAAUGAGCCUAAUGAAAUAAGACUAACCAAUCAUUUAUAGGAAAUUCAUGGCAAAAUGGAUGAAAAGAAAGAAAAAUAACUUCAAAAGGUAAAAAAGGAAGAAUAUAUGGAUGAUUUCUCCUCUUCUCCACACUCCAAACUCUCAAAAUAUGUCUCUUGUGUGAUAAAAUUCAAAACCCUUUCAACAUAACGAGUUUGAGUAUUUAUAGAAAAAUUCUGAUCCCCGUAAGAUACGUCACACUACCUUGUAUAUGCAAUGCAUUUUUGUAAUUGUAUACACAUGUGUCAUCCUCUUGAUCUCACAACAUGCUGAGUAACCGUAAAAGGUGUGACACAUUUCAUAUAUUAUGGUGAUGCGUCAAAGGUGAGAUCAGCAUAACGACUUGUGUUGCCCUAAAGGUUGCAACGAGUUUUUUCUAAAUAGUUGUAAAGACUUUUAUCUUCAUAGAAUUUUUCCAAUUUGUUCAUUUUGUUUUCUAUUUUAUUAUAAUUUUGUGUCUAGGUCUUUUUCGCUCGUGUUACUAUAACUUCUAUAGUCACUAUGACAAAUAACACUUUUUAUAAUGAAGCUUUCACCUCGAACAUGCCAAAAAUCAAGUGUAUAGGUCAUGGGAGCGAUAUGUUUGACUUUUUGUUAUAAAAAAACAACAUUUGCCUCAGUUUUAUAAAAAUAGAGGUAAUAUAACUAUAAGUGAACGCUAGAUUUUCCCCAUAAAAAAUUUAUUACCUCGGCAUUUUUUAAAAUCGGAGGAAUAUAGCUAUAAGGGAACACACUUUGAAUCCCUGUACCUGCAUUUAAGGGUUUUUUCAAUGAUUUCUCACUUGGCGCCUUCCAAUCUUCCCUUUUUUUCUUAGUUAAUGUUUUUUUCUUGUUAAUUAGUAGUUCUCAAUUUUUUGUUAUCAAUCAAAAUAAAUAGGCAAUAAUAUGAAAGGAAAUAUUUCAUUAAUUAAAAACAGGACAACAAAUAACUAUUCCACAUAUUCAAAAUUCCAACUCUACUCAACUUCAAUAGUACCACUAUUAACUAUCUUCAACUGAGAGAAAAGUUCAGAAAUAAUUCUUCCAUAUGGUAUGAGAAAAGUCAUUUCCUCCAUAAAGAUGAUUACCAUUUUCUUUAAGAAGUUAAAAAUGGUAAAAUGAAGAUUAACUCUGAUGCUCUUGGUAAGGAAUAACAAGAGAUGUUUGUCAUCACAAGUAAGCGUUUCUAGUUGUUUCAUUCAUAGACGAAGAUUUGACACUAGAAGUUGAUAUAAAACUUUUUUAAUUGAUAGUAGAAUAACAUGAAUGUUGUUGUAUUUAGAAGCUUGAAAAAAAGUUCUCUAUGAUGAAUUACAAGUGUGGAAAACAUUUUUUCAAUAGUAGAAUAAAUAAUUCCUUUAGAAGUUGGAUGCAUUUAAUGAUUGGAACAGAUAUCUCCUAUAAAUUGGAUGCAUGCAAUAUUUUGAACACAUAAUUUCUUACACCAAAAAUCUUUUUUUGUUGUAUUAUUAUUUUUCAAUAUUCUUUGUAAACAAUAUAAUUUUUUUAUAAAAAAUCAUGUUCACCUUGAUUUUUAACAAAACCGAGGGAAUAAUUUAGCGUGCUAAUUUUAGAUAUUGAUCACCGUUCUUAAAUAAAUCUUUGUUAUCCAUUUCAUAAUUAUCAACAUUCAAGACACUAUCAUUAGUGGUCCGCGUGAAACCUAAAAAAUUCUCAUUAUAAAAGUCUUAUGAUAUCUAUAAUUGAUAAAGAAACGUCAUGAAGCGCUUGAAACUAUCUACAUCCUCCACUUUAACUUUUGUCGUUAACAAUUCUUUAUGAUGGAUUGCAAGUGCAGAAAAUUAUUUAGGUUCAAGGUUUGUGUUUUUAAAUAUUCAUUUGAGUAGAAAAUCAUUUAUUUUUAUAUUUUCUUUUGUUUUAUAUCAGAAACAAAUAAAAGCAAGGUGAAACAUUUGAUCUUGCCCAAAUAUUAAGGAAUCGAAGAUUCAAUAUAUGAUCUUCAAGGAUAAAUUAAUUUUUAUUUUAAUAUUCUGUGUAAACAAUAUAAUAUUCUGGGUAUUGUAGUUUGUAAACAAAUUUUAUUUAUUUAUUUUAUGGGUAAACAAUGUAACAAAAUUCAAUUAAAAAAACAAUUUAUCUUACCCAUCGGUUUAAUUAUAAACUGAAAUGCAUGAGACAUUAGUUUUGUAAAUAAUAAAAAUACAGAAGUUGGGGUUCAAACUCAUGUGCAAAUUAAUUUAUCCCUCGGUGUUUAGAAAACCGAGGUGAUAAACCGUUACUUUUUAUGACGCCCUUCGUUAACUCGGUAUUACAGCCGAGGUAAAAUAUAUUUCACGUCCGACGUUAAAAACACUUUUUAUAUUAGUGAGUGAAAAUAUUAUACAAUUUAUUUAGUCAAGAUGAUUUUGGCACAAAUUACUCAUUUCACAGUUCUUCGUAAUCUUUAUUAAAAAAAUUCAAAAAUAUAAACGAUUAAACAUAAAAGCACUUAAAAAUAAAGAAAAAAUUAUUAAAAAAGAUGUAAUGAUUAUGUGUCAUCAUAACUCUUAAUCAACCAUAAGUCAAUAUCCAUGAAGUGUCGAGCAAGAACUUAACAUAUUUGGUUUGAACAACCAAAUGUGAUUUGUACCAUUACUAAAAUAAGUAAAAUUAACUAAAACUUUCAAGAAAAUGAAACUUUCUAAAUUUACCAAAUUUUAUAAUGAAAAUGAUGAAUUCUUUCUUAAGCACAUUUUUAAAUACACUAAAGAAUUAUGUAAAUUUCUUAAUGAGAAAUGAUUAUAGACAGGGUUCUUUCCCAUGUAUUUUAACAUAACUAAUACUUAUAGUUUUAACAUAACUAAAGCAAAUGAUUUUUUGAACAUUUUUUUAAAAGAUAAACAAUUGAAAUUAUUUAAAGAUCACACAUUAGUAAUGUCAAUAGACCCAAAAGAGCAUAAACAUUAUAAAUUUUAAAACAAGUUUGACUAUUUUACCAAUCAUUGUGAAUGUUUCAUAAACUUAAUCCAAAAGGCUAUCGUGGAUUGAUAAAUUGUGGAUUAAUCAACGAAUUCAAAAUACCUUCAAGGUACAAAUUCAACGUAAGAUUGAUAGGUGAUAUAUGAGAACUAAUGCUUAUCAAGGGAGGUUACUCUUUUAGAAUGGAUAUUAUACAUGUGGUAGAUCAAAACAAAUGAAUUUAAUUAACUCAACAAAGCUACCACAAUUAUCUAAAAGGAAAAAAAUUAGAAGAAAAUUCAUACUUAAUAAGAAAUAAUGAUGGAUGUAAAAAUCGGUAUUAAUUUUUACUUUAUCUUGUAACUUAUGUUUCAUAAGUCUCAAUACCAUUUAUUCUUUACAUAUAUGAAGGUCUAAAGAAUUUGAGAGUGCGUCAUUGACUAGUUAAGAAAGAAAAUAGUUUUUCUUUUUAAAUAAGCAAACUUUGAUUAAUUAAAAAAAACUAACAAAAAAAACAAGGCGAUUGCUCGGAUCCAACCCUCAACGAAACUAAUAACAAAAAACAAAGCUAAUAUAUCAUCAAAUUAGCAAUGUGUUUUCUAAUUUUCUCAUCAUACCAACCUCUAUACACAAUCAUGUCUAUAAUAUUUCCCGCUAUUUUGGUAUUAUCCAUAUUGUUUCCAAAUACCUUGUCAUCCAUAUACUUCCAAAUGUCAUAUAUAGCUUUAGUAGCAACCAACUUUAACAUAGCAACCCACCCCCAUUUUCCUUUACUAUGCUUCAAAAUCUAAUGCAUUUCUUCAUUCCAUUCCUCGUGCUCGUGAAUGAUUUGGAUCCAAUAAAGAAUCUUGCACCAAAAAUUCUUUUCAAUUCAACACACCCAAAAGACAGAUGAUUCACAGUCUCCUCCUUGUCACAAAAAUAGCACCGGGUGUUGUCCACCAUUCCAAACUUGUGAAGUUUUUCCCUGGUGACUAGUUUCCCAUGGAAAGCAGGCCACAAAUUCAUCAUAACUCUAGGUCGAGUAACAUUGUUGCAUAACAAAGUCCUCCGAACUAGUUUCCCAUGGAAAGCAGGCCACAAAUUCAUCAUAACUCUAGGUCGAGUAACAUUGUUGCAUAACAAAGUCCUCCGAGCCAUAUCUUGUUCAUCAUCUCUCAAUUUUGCAUACAUGGUCUUCAUGUGAAAUUUACUCUUAUUAAGCAUUUGAUCCCACAAAUUCUACACCUAUGUAAUGUUCUCCCUUUGGUGCAGGAUUACCUUCAUUAUCCAAGUGUUGUUAGGUCUAAUAUUCACCUUCAUCAUGCUAUUGUUUUUGAAAUAAUAUGUAUACACCUAUUUAACCCAUAAGUUGUCCGACUUACCACUAAGAUUCCAAAGCAACUUCAUCAUAACAAUUUUGUUAUAGGUUUCCUACUCAAUAACGUUUAGACCUCCUUGUUUCCUAGGCUUGCAAAUGUUCUUACAAGCAAUUGGGCUCUUUAUACCGAUAUCAUCUCCACCUGUCCACAAGAAGGACCUACAAACAACAUCAGUUCUCUUUAUCAAACUCUUGGGCAGAGGGAAACAUUGCAUCCAAUAGUUAGUAAUGACAAAAGAGAUAUUAUUGAUUAUCUAAACUUUUCUUACAUAACUCAAAAGCUUAGUGCUCUAGUGUUGAACCCUACAAACAAUCUUAUCCACAAGAAUCAUGUAGUGAUGUAUGGAAAGCUUCUUACAAGCCAGGGGGACGCCUAAAUACUUAAAUGGAAGAGGCCCUUCCAUAUAAGAAGUUAAUCGGAUAUUGCUCUCCUCAGUGUUAUCAUUAACUCCACCAAAAUAGAUUAUGCACUUGCUAGGAUUAACCUUCAAACCUGUAGACCAAGAUAAGCUCUUAAAAGCAUUCAAUAACAACUCAAUAAAUCAUUGAUUACCUCUUGAGAAAAGCAUCAGAUCAUUUGCAAAAGUCAGAUUUGUGAUAUGCAACUUUUCACACUUUGCAUAGUGGUUAAAGUCAUGGAUUUUUUGCAUCUUGUGAAGGCCUAUAUUCAAAUACUCCAUAUUAAUGACAAAAAAGUAAAGGGGAUAUGGGGUCCUCUUUUCUAACUCCUCUCCUAGCUUGCAUAUUUUUUAUGUACUCGUCAUUAAUGUUAAAUUUGUAUGAGACAGUGGUCACAGUAAGCAUUAUCUACCUCAUGAAUUGAUGGAUCAUACCAAUCUCUUGCACAAUGCACUCUAAAGCUCUAAAGUCAACCAUGCCAUAAGCCUUUUGUAAGUUAAGUUGGAGUAUACAUAUGGGGAUCCUCCUUCCUAGCAUAACCUUUAAUUAUCUCAUAUGCUAGGAGAAUUUGGUUUUGGAUCUGCUUCCCAGGAACAAAAGUAGCCUAACAUUGCCUAAUAAUGCUCCUAAGAACCAUGCCUAAUUGAGCUGUCAAAACCUUUGAUAUAAUCUUGUAGGUUAUGGUACAAACAUAUAUUUGUCUAUGGUCUUUAAUGUAUUUGGAAUCAUCACUCUUUGGGAUAAGAGUCACCACAAUGCAAUUGAAUGCCUUGUACAAUCUUUCUUUCCCAAAAAACUCCAUGAUAGUUGUUAUCACAUCAUCUUUUAUAGUGUUCCAAUUGGCUUUAAGAAAUCUGGAAUCAAAGCCAUCUAAACCAAAAGACUUAUGAUCAUUAAUAUCUAUCAAGGCCUUACAAAUUUCUAGUUUAGUGACAGGUCUAACAAGAUACUCCCUCUGCUCCAUAUUAAGUUGGGCUUCAUCUCUCAUGGCUUCUAUAUCAAUAUACUGUAAGUUGUUAACCCUCUUCCCCAUUAGCUUCCCAUAGUAAUCUAACACUUCAUUCUCAAUCUCUUCUUGAGUUGUCAUAUUGGUACCAUCUUCCAUAUAGAGAACCCUCAAACUCUUAGCAUUUUGAUUUGAUUUAAUUGAAGCAUGAAAGUAAGAAUUAUUUCCAUCCCUCAAUCUUAACCAAUCAAUCUUGGCCUUGUGUUUUAACAUAUCUUCUUCUAGCUCAUUCCAUCUUAUAACAUUCUCAGUACAUUUCUUUACUUCCUCAAUCCCAUGGUUAUUCAUUAUGACCAUAAUGAGAUCAAACCAAGCCUUCUCAGGGUCAAUUCUAGCUUUGGCAAUAUUCUGCUGCACAUGAGCAAGAGGUCUGAUAGCUUCUUUAAAAUAGGUUUAAGUAUUUUCAACUUACUCCAUAACACAUACAUAGGCAUGCCAACCAAGGGCUCCCUCUAACUUCUAGAAACAACUUCGUCAUACCUUUCCAAAUUAGCCACACAAUUGAAAAACUUAAAUUUAGUUUUCUUGAUUCUAUCAUGCUCCUGGUAUAUUAAGAAAAAAAGUAUGAUCAAAUACACUUGGAGGUAAGAUUUGUAGGGAUGUGUACAAAUGAGCUUGAAACCAGUCCACAUUCCCUAGGACCUUAUCAAAACUAGAGUAAAUAUUUCCCUAAAUGUGCUUAUUUGACCAAGUAUAGUAAUCUCAUAUACUAUCCAUCUCAAACAAACAAGUCAUUUCCAUCAUUUUGUGUAUAUCAUUAUAUUAAGCUUUUGUCACCAAAUUACCCCUAACUUUGUCCUGAGCCUUGAUCACAUUAUUAAAAUCUCCAAUUAAACACCAAGGUCCCUAUUUCUUCCCACAUAAACCCUCAAUGUCUCUCCACAUAAUUCUUCUUUGAUCUAACUUGUUAAUAGCAUAUAUCGCAGUUAGCCAAAAUUUGAAGUCACCAUUCUUGUCACAAACUCCAUAAUGAACCAUAUGACUAGUACUUUUCAUAUGCUUAACAUCAAUCUUAUUAUUAUUCCAUUCCACCAAAACUCUACCAUUAUCAUGGUGUUUAUAAUUGGCUAGGUAUAAUCCCUUAAGGUUUAGUUUAUUUCUAAUAUUCUUAGCUUUGUCAAACUUCACCCUAGUUUCAAGAAGAAUAUUAAUAUCAGGCCUAAGCUAUAGGAGACGGGAGCCAAUCUCCCUGAGCUAACCUAUUUUAUUUAUCCCCCACAUGUUCCAAGCAACAAUCAUGGACCAAUAUCUUGAGCCACUAGAGUAUCAUUCAAAAUCCAUAGGGAAGUAAAUUCGUUCUCACAUUGGACUAUAAUAGAUGAACCUUCAUAUAAUAUCCCUUUGCCUCGAUCUCUUCCACUUUUAUUAACCCUUAUCCAUUCUUGUUGCUUCUCUUCAGUAUGUAUACUAGCCUCCUUUGAACCUCCCUCAUCGGAUACAAGGUUUUUUUUUCUUCUGGUGGUUUAUGUAUAGGCCUCCAUUGCAUCUCUCUAGACUUUGUCAUACCACAUUGGUGUCCCAUCUUUUGACAUUUCCUGCAGAAUAACGACUUCCAUUUGUAUUCCACUACCUAUUUCAUCUUCUUCCCUUCGUUGUCCUUGAUGGUGAUAUCUUGCGAUAAUUCUUGGGUGAUAUCAACUUCAACCAACAUUCUUGCAUAAAAGACUUUUAGUUUAUUUGUCGUGCAUUCAUCUGUUACGAAGGGAUUCCUUAUGGCACUUCCAAUCUUAGUUAAGCUCUUGACCCCCAAAAGUAUAACGGGAGUUAAAGGAGUUUUAUCCAUAAGGGUAGGGUUCUCAACAUGUCUUUUUUCAAGUUGAAGUUUGACCUCAAUUCUCGCAGCAACAUAGGCAUGUUCCUGAUGGUGUAUGAGUCAUUCAUCAUCAUUGUAUCCUUGUCCUUGUACGAUUUGAAUUUGAGCAGAAAAUACCCUUCAUCAUAGUAGAACAUGUCUGGAAAUUAGGCAACGUUCCAUGUCUUAAUCAUGUAUUACUUCACUGUAUUCAUACUCAAAUCACCUCAAAGAACAUACAUUAUCAAGGUUGUGUCCCAUAAUGUUACCUCCGCUUCAAUGUCUUCUUCCUUGAUCUCACCAUUCACAACCUUUGGAGCUACGGAUUCCAUUAUCUUGCCUUUUGUCGAAUUCCAAUUAUCAUUAAGAACAUCCACCCAUAACUUCCUUAUCUCCUUUGGUACUUAUAUAAUUAGGGUUCUCGUUUCUUUAUCUUCCUCAGUCUCCUUGCUUCCACUAUUUUCACUUGAACUAACAUUGUUUUUGUGUUUGUUGAUUCCUCCGUCUCAUCUUGGUCUUGCAUUUCCGUUUGUGUUACUCGAUUUCCACAAUUUUCCGACGACUAUGGCACUAUUCUUUUCGGCCGCCCUUGUCCCUUUGUUAUCGCUCGUUCUGAAAGAAAAUAGUUGAACAUGUAAUAUGUGUUAAACACUUAAUAUAAAUUUGAGAAUUAAAUUUAAAACAACUUAAAGAUAAAAAGACAAGAUAUAUUAUUUAGUUGGCGAUAAAAUGAAGCAUUUAAAAAUAUUAAAAUGAUACUAUUCUUAAGAGCAUGUUUGAUUAAAAAUAAAUAAAAAAGAUAUAAUUUAAUGAUUAUCUGUUAUGACUCAAGUGAGUCUCUAAAAUUAAAAUCACAUAAAUUUUGUUGUAUGGAAAAAGGAGAUAAAUUUAUUUUAAAUAUAAAGUCAAUUAUUAAAAGAGGACCAUAAAGAAUAAAAUAAAAAAAAUUGGGAAAAAAACAAUGUUAGCUUUCCUCCAAAAUAAGGCCAUAUUUCUAUUAUUUGGCCUUAAAUAUUUUUUUAUUCAAUAAUAUCUGAAGUAUCACUAUUGUAAUAAAAAUUUAAUUUUAUAUUUUGUCUCCAUUAAAAUAUGUCACAUCAUUUAUCAAACAAAACAUUUUUACAAAAAUAAUAUCCUUUUCCUCCCUUCCUUUUCUUUUCACUAGAUUAAAAUCCUUUUCAUGGCUAGAAGAAAAUUAAAUAGAGUAAAUGUGAAUGAUUAUUUUAAACUUGAGUCGUGUGAUUCAAUUAUUUAAAGGGUAGAACGUAAAGAAAAUAAUCAAAUUUAUUUCAUAUUUUAAUAAAUAUCAUUUUAUUUCAUUUGAUCUUAAAUACGAUAAUUGUGUGAAAUAUAAUUAUACAUUUUUUCCAUUGAAAUCUCUCUUCCUCUUCCAUCAAUUUCAUUAUCUCAAUUAAAAUCUCUCUUCACCAAUUUACUAUUAUGAACAAAAUAAACUAUAAAACAAUAGAUAAAUUCAAAAUGAUAUUAUAAUAUAAGGUCAUAAGAAAAAUAGUAGGUAGUUUUUAAUAUAUUUGUUUUGUAUUACUAUUGUAAUCAUAAACGAGAGGAUUUUGUAGUAAUCUUUUGUAUUGAGUUAGAUUAUUCCUACUCUUCUUUGAUAUCAUUUACUUAUAAAGAAAUUGAACAAAAUAUUAUUUGAAUUUGAACUAAAAGUAAUAUAUAUAUAUAUAUAUAUNAUAAAUAAAUAUUUAAAACUCUAUUUAAUAAAUAAAUAUAUCACCACAAUUUUAAAAAAACUUAUUUGUUAUUUUGUUAUUUUCCCUUCAACUCACUCAAUCAAAAUAUUAAAAAGAGUAUUUAAUUAAAACAUUGAAAAAACUAAAGAUAAAAAAAAUGAUAUUUGAAAAUAAUAUAAAACAUUGAAAUGGUUCGCAAGUUCUAUUUCAAUUUAUAGAAACUGAUAUUAUUAAGUUAGAUAUCAGAGUUUAAAUUUAAUGUUUAUAAUUGUAUAAGAGUUUCUAAUAAUUAUUACUUCUUCAUUUAUGAAAAAAUAUCGAAAUGAAAUUAUUUUUAAAAGUAUAUUUGGUUUGAAGAAAAUAAAACAAAAAAGAAAAAUAUAUUUUGUAAUUUUAAUUUUAGAUGUUUAAUUUAAAAGAAAAUAGAAUAUGUAACUUAAAUUAUUGACCAUCGUGUAUUAUGCAAAAUGGGACGGAAAUUUUCAAAUAAAUGAUAUUACAUAGUUAAAUGAUGAAUUCUUAUAAAAUCUUAGUUUUGUUUAUUAAUGAUAACUUAGAUUAAACUCUCUCAAUUUGAAGAUACUAGAUUUUAUGUAUCUUAUUUUUUCUUAAUAAUAUCUUAACCAUAAAUUUAUGUUUCCCAAACUUGUAAUUAACUUUUGUAAUCUUUCAUCAUGACUUGGAGUAUUCUUACCUUAUAAAGAGAUCAUAUAAAAUAUAAAAGAAAAUUGAGAUUUUCUUUAAAUAAUCAAUUUUUUCAAAUUAAAUAUUAAAAUUAAUUAUCAAACUAACCACUUUCUAAAUAAAAAAAAUUACACGACAAGAGCAAUAGUCCGGACAAAUGGCACAUGCGUUGUCCUUUUGCACUAAGGCGCCAAUGGUGGUGGCGAAAACAUUUACUACAUGUCACUGCAAGUGACGCAUGCAUACAUCCAAUAGAAGCAUGCGCAACAUGCAAGAGCUACUCCUCUAUUUGCAACUUCUAUUUAUACAACAUCCUUUCUCCAUCAUUUUCACACAUCUUAUUACUAUCCCAUUCCAUUUUUUUUCAAAAUCUCUGCAUAUAUGUGUCCUUAUAUUCACAAGAGAAAUGCCGAUUUAAUUUAUUCGGUAGUAAAACCUCUAAUGAAGAUCCGACUCUGAAAUACAGAGACGUUCAAACAUCUUAACUGAGCUUUAUUUGUUGGUUACAUAGAGACGUCGCAGAGGGUGAAAAUAUUAGAAGAAUUAAAAGGUUUGUUACCACGUUCAAUCAAAAUUGAGAAGUUCGUUUCUGGGACAAUGUUAAAACUGCCAGAGAUGUCCACAUGAUGAUGUAUAAUUCUCAGGAAAUUAUCCUGAUGGUUGUAAUCACAUAGUAAUGUUGUUAAGUCGUUGUACUUGUUUGUUUUGUUGUUUAAAUUAUUGUUUAGUUGUUGUUUUUAAAUUAUUGUAACCAAAUGUUAUGAUAUUUAUGAAAUGAAAGUUGUUUUUAAUAUAAAGCAAAAUGGUUACGUUUAAAAUUAUGUUUUUGUGUUUGGUCCAACAUUGGGACAGUUUGUACGAUUGCAUCCGGGUUGGUGACAUGAACUACAUAAUCUCACCAUUUUGUUCGCCGUAUCCAUUUUGGUUCGAAUAUGCAUGCUAUUAGGGCGGUCCUUUUUCUUUCUUCGCAUUUUUUCAUUGUGUCAGACUAUCUCCCUUUGAUAUGCAUGCCAAUAAUCCUCUUUUUCUAUCACCAACAAGUUAUUGUUGUAAAUAUUGCAUAGGUUUAUGACUUUGUAAACGACAGAUAGUAAGUUGGAAGGGUCAUGUCAAACCUUUGAACAUGUCACUAUGACAUGGGAGCAAGGCAUACAAAAGACUUGGAACUUUCUGCAGUUGCACCAACCUUUAUCUAGUUCCAUUCAACAGUAUCCCCUCAGUCUACCUUCAUUAUGAUCCAUUGACUCAACAACAAUGAAUCAACCCUUUAGUACAUUCAAACACUUUGACCACGUGUGUGUUAGCUUUGUUGGCUUCCUCCUUAAUGAAUUUCAUUGAACCAUCAUUCAACAGCUGCCCCGAUUGUGACACUGAACUCCAUUUAGAAUGUCUGAUCUUAAACAGUGUCCCUAACCUAAAAUAGGUUGCUCUAACUACAGAGAUUAUUGGUAGGUUUCAUAUGCCUUUGAAGACAAGGUUCAUUGAUUCCACGAGAUUUAUUGUCAUGUGGCUCCAUCGUUGACCAUUGUCAUAUGCUCUAUUCCACUUCUCCAAUGGAAUAUUGUCGAUCCACCUUACUGCAUAUGCAUUUGUCAAUCUGAUGUCUUCACGCUAGUGUUUGAAGGAAGGUUCUAUUAAUGCAUACCAUGCGUUCACAACCUUCUUCUGCAACUUCUUGUCUUUGAUCUCCCGCAUAAAAUUUUGAGCGAUGUGUCUAAUGCGGUAGACAUGCAUUGAAGGAGGAUCCUGCCAGCUGUUAUCAAGGUUUUUAUAGGCACUCUCAAUUAAUGGAUGUCUGUCUAAAAUCAAACAUAAGUUAGACUGAGGAGCAACAUGUAAUCAAAUAUUUUUUAAGAAAAAAACUCCAUCCACCAGCAGUGUCCCCUUCAACCAGAGCAAAAGAUAUUGUAAAAAUGUUGUUGUUGCCAUCUUGUGCCAUACAUAAUGGCACAUGCUUUAAAAGUACAACAUAUGCACCAUACCCAAUGGCAAAUACUUUGGAUAUCACAUGCAAAAAAGAAUCAUGUGAAUGUGUCAUUCACAUCUAUAAAUAUUGAUGUGUUUCUCAGCAUUUCCAUCAAACACACUCAAUCCAUCUACCUUGUAUGCAACAUACACUCAAUAUACCCACUUUGUCAGCAACAAAUACUCAAAAGCAUUCAAUAAAAAUGUCUCUACUAACCAUGGGUGAUGAACAUCGAGGAACUAUCGACAAUAUUACAGAGUUUGUAAGUUACUAUUUCUUAAUACUAUAGCUUAUUUAAUUUUCUUAAUAAUAUAGUUUAUUACUUUUUCUUACAUAUUUCCUUAAUAAUCUUUUGUUAGGAACCAAAGAAGUUUUGAUGCUGUGUACAUGAAUAUCUACCAUACAAUCCAUUGAUAGAACCAUACUUACGAGUAAGCGGUUUUGGUAAUGUACUUAAUAUAGUCUCAUACUCUAUUGAUUACAAAUUUAUUCUUGCUUUAGUAGAAAGAUGAAGACUCGAGACCCACACAUUUCACCUUUCAUUCGGUGAACGUACCGUCACACUAGAGGACAUCUACAUGUUGUUGGGUCUACAUAUCGAUGGUAAAAUUGUUAAUGGUAGAGUUAACCAAGAUAACUCUAUAUGCGAAUAAUUGUUGGGUGCCCCUUUGUGUGAAGACACAACUACAAGAUAAAUUUCGGGUCAACCUAGGGGUCAAUGUAUUAAUUUAAAAUAUCUUAAACAAUAUUAUUCAAGUAUAACAUUAAACGAAGAAUCGACUGAUUAUGAAAAGAUAAUUAAAGCUCGGUGUUAUAUUAUGAUUUUAUUUGGUAAUUUUUUAUUUCCUGGAAGUACUGAUAAUACGGCAAAUAUUAUGUAUUUGUCGUUGUUACGAAACAUAAAUAAAGUAGAAAUAUAUAGUUAGGGUUCCGUUUUUUUAUCCCAUCUAUAUAGUUCAUUGUGUAAAAAUGCAAAAAAGAAUACUUAUACGUUUUAUUCUUGCGUCUUUUUGCUACAAGCACGAGGUUGGUCAAUAAUUCCAUCACUUGCCCCGAUUAACGAGAAGUCAUUCGCAACAAAGUAAAUUUAUCUUAAAUCUUCAAAUUUGUUAAGCUUUAUACUACAACUAAAUAUAACUAAUAUAUUUUCAAUCUUUUCGUUUUAGGUGGUUAGCUCUGGGGAUGAACUACAAUAGGUGUCCCAAACACGCUAUAAUAGUCUAUCACAAUCUUUUAGAUCACCUUGGACCAGACGAUGUAUUACAACUAAACAACUCUAAAUUUGAUUUUAAAAAUUACCAAAUUACAAAUCUUCUAAUCAUGUAUUUUUCUCAUACAGUUUAUAAGGAGUCUGUAUCUGGGCCUUAACCAUCAGGUUAACCCUGAUGAUGCUGCAGUUUGGAUAACGAAAACAUUAAUCAUCAGGUUCACUACUGUGGAGAUGCACUAGAGUGACCAUGUGAAACUGCAGUUCGGCAUGCAACAACAGAUUCCAGAUCCUCCAACGUGUUUGGGAGAUUGACAUCAACAAAAAGUCAAUGUCCAAUAGGGUUAUUCCAAUUGGAGAGAAUUCGUUAAAGAGAUGUGUUGUCAUUGGAAGAAUCGACAUCGAUACAACUUAAAUGAACUGAUCAUAUAAGGUGCUAGACUAACUCAACAUCAUAUGGAUUGGUUUAGGUCAGUUACAAUGACAUUGUUUGUGCCCGAGUCGAGGUAUUUCAUUGAUCCACGCCAACAAGCUUCAUCGUCGUACACCAAAUAACAAACCCCCGCCCAAUAACUAACCCCGCACCAUUAUCAAAUCCAAAAACAAUGUCAACUCACCCAAACCCAACGACCAACCUCACAGCGCCACCAUACCAUAUACACUCUGUCAUACCCCAAUUUUGUCAGGGUAUUUUAAAUUCAUCGGAUACAUGUCCAUUUGUCAAGUUUUGUAUUUUUAGCCAUAUGCAUUUUUAUCAUCAAAUAAAGUCAUCAUAACCAUGCAUAUAUGCAUUAUAGUAAAAAAGUCAACAUAAAGUCAAUAUUUUACAAGUUAAAUAAAUUGACUAAAAUUGCAUUUUUCCAUUAUGCAUUUUAAAAAAUAAAUUCAUGAUCAUUUGAUUUACCAUCAAAAUAUCUAUUUGAAUUUUAUUAAUCAUUUUCAUGCAUCAUAAAACAAAAAUCAAUGUUUCUAGAAGGUCCAAAUCAUCUCUCAUUUAUUACAUCAUUAUUCCAUGUAUAUAUUACAUCAUUAUUCAAUGCAUAUAUUAUAUCAUUAUUCACUAUUUAAUUAAAUAAAUUUGUACAAGGCACUCACACUCUUUGCAUAAUUUCUAAAUUGUCCUUUCUAGAGCCUAUAAAUAAAUCAUAUUUCAUUCACAAAUUAAGCAAAACCUCUCUUCAUUUUUCUAAAGUAAUUUCUUUCUUUCUUUAUUGAAUUUUAUUUUUGGUAAGCUCUUAUGCUUGACAUUUAUUUAAUUCCAUUGCAUUUUUAUUCUUACUUCAUUUAUUUAGUACCUUAAUUAUCACCAUUUUGCAUGGAAACUCCAUUAAUUUAAAAUCAAGAGUUUAAAAUGUUUUUGAACCUCCAUGGACAAAAGUGAUUAAAUAUGAAUUAAUUUUUGUUUAUUUAAUUUUCUUUGUAUUAUUAUUAUUGCUUCACUUAAUUAGUACCUUAAUCAUCACAAUUUUGCAUAGAAACUCCACUGAUUCAAAAUUAAGAGUUUAAAGUGUUCUUGAAUUUUCAUAAACAAAAGUGAUUAACUUUGAUUUAAUUUUCGUUUAUUUAAUUUUCUUUGCAUUAUUAUUCCUGUUGCACUUAAUUAGUACAUUAAUCCCUACUAUUUUGUAUGGAAACUACAUUAAUUCAAAAUCAAGAGUUUAAAGUGUUCUUGAACAUCCAUGAACAAAAAUGAUCAAAUGCAAAUUUAUGUUUGUUUUACAUAAAUAAUAUAUCCAAUAACUUCUCAACAUCAUCCCGAACAUGAAUCCAUAGUUCGUUUGUCAUGAUGAUGGAUAAAAUUGUCAAAUCAAGCAAAUAUAUGCUGCUGGGUUUUUGUUAAUUUUUGAAUUUUUUGUUGUUUAUUUGCUGAUUUUUGAUACACCAUUGUGUUCGUGAAAUCGAGUAGCUAAAUUUACAUUAUUUAUUUGCUUAAAUCCAUGAAAAUAUAAGAAAGUUAUAAUGUUUUUACGUUUUGGUUGUAACAUUUUUUUUCUAUUUUUGUUGUUAUGAGAAUAAUAAUCAAAUGUGGGAUUGGUGAAUGUAACACCCCAAUUAAACUAAGCUAAUUAUUUAAUUUAAAUUAAUAUUUUAUUUAUUAAUUUAAUCGAAUAAUUGGGAGUUUGGAUUAUUAUUAUUAUUUUGAAAUAAUAAUUAUUGGGUUAUUAUAGAGCAUGACAGGAUAAUUUGAUGAUUUUUGUGAAAUGAUUGUGUGACACCCUUCGGGGCAUAAUUACUCUGAUUAAUAUGUUAAUAUUUUUAAUCAAAUAAUUUGGGGUAUUAAGAGGGGUGUUACAGUGAACACAAAACCUCUCCACAUCCCUUGAUUAUUCAACACACUUAUGUGGGGUUUCUCCUUUAAACCUAGAGCAUUUUUCUUACUAUACCCUCAAUUUUUAGUCUCUUUUUGUCUUUUGUGUUUUAUUUAUUUAUUAUUUUCUUAUUAUUGUUUUAUUUAUUUAUUUUUGUUCUUUCUUUUAUUUCCUUUAGUUUUUUUAGUUCUUUUACCUUUUGUAUUGAUAUUAUGAUUUCCCUUUUAUUAUUUCUUUUACUUUUUUUUAUUACUUUAUUUUUUAGUUUAUUUUAUUGUAUUUUUAGUUGAUGCAUAAUUGUUAAUCCAAAAAGACAAAAUGACCAUUAAAAUUAAACUUUCAAAAAUACUAAAAUAAAAGGUGUUUGAUCAACAUCAAGUACAUUUUUCAAAAGCAUACUAAGUCUUUUUCUUUAAUAAGCGCCUCAUAUCAUUUCAAACCAUUUCAUAAAUCAUUUUUACUAACGCGAUAAACACGCAAUCAACAUCAAGUUGCAUGUCCGCUUACUCUAAGCGAUUAAAUACUUUUCUUAAUUAAACUUCGAAUGAAAAAGGGAAUGGGAGACGUUCGCCUCACCACCCCUCGAAUGAUUGAACGAUUGACGCUUGUCAUAUUACUCGAAUUUCCGUCUUCCGAUUAAAACACUCUAAAUAAACUUGGAUAAAGGAAUAAGUGACACACACCUCAUUAUUCCUCGAAUAAGCAAGUGGGAGGUGCUCGCCUCACUACCGCGAAUAGUCGACUUCCACAAACAAUUUUCAAAUACCAAAUUGGACAAAAAAGGAACGGGGACACUCACCCUCACUAUUCCUUGAAUAAGUGAAUAAUUGACGCGCACCAUAUUGCUCAAACUUUCGUCAAUCCCCCUAAAAAACAUACAAACACAUUAACUUAAUUUCUCGCCUCUGUGGGAUCAACACCUUCUUUUUGAAAAGAACAUUGUUAAAUCAUUUCUAAUGCAUAUACAAACUAGCGCUUAAGUCUCCCUCUACGAGCAUGCAAGCCCAUGUUUAACCGUUAGAAUUCGAUCUAAGAACUUAUUCAUUAAAACAAACUUCAAACAAUCAAACCUAUCUUUUUCUCGCCCCCGUCCGAUAAAAAUCCUUUUCACAAAUGGACAUUGUUUAGUCCUUUCUAAUGCGUACACAAACUAGCGCUUAAGUCUCUCAUGCGCGAGCAUACAAUUAAAUAUUUAAACUGCUAGAAUGCGACCAAACGAGAUCCCUUCUACUGCAAAAGAAACAAACACUAAGUCCCCCCAUCCGUGAGCAAACAAGUUAAUGUUUAAACUGUUACAAUGCGACCUAAAUAUUUGUCCUCUAAAAUCAAUCAAUCAACACUCUUUUGCUACCCCGAACUACGAAGCUUUGAGUUCCUCAUUGUACUCGAGGAUACGUAGGAGCAAGACUCACAAUUUUGUCAAACAUUAUAAUAAAAAUAUUUUUGCGACCCCUUUUAUUUUACACUUUCAAUAACUCGAAGAAAAUAAUUAACAUAAGCCAACAUUCAAUCGCGAAUUUAACUAAAAGGUUCACGUUGAGUACAACAGACGUGAGUGGUGCUAAUACCUUCCCCUUGUGUAAUCUACUCCCGAAUUCGAAUUUGUUUGUGACAGUCAUUUUCCUUUUUUUAAGGUUUUAUCAAUAUUUUCCUAUUCCUUCAUUAAAAUAAAUAAAGUUCAGUGGUGACUCUGUUCGAAUCAUUUUUUCUGUGACUUCGCGAAGGAUCAUAUUUUUUGAGAUGCGACACACCCAACCUCCAAACACUCAACUUUGCAACCAAUAGAUGCCACACACCCAAACAAAAUACCAAGAGUAUGACCCAUGACACCAAUAACCACAUGCUCCCACCACAUAUUACUAUAGCCUCAAUGAUUCAUUUGAUUCCAUAAUAUCCCACCAUAGCCCCCCACCAAUGAACACCCAAACAUCCCACCACCAAAGCAUCCAACCACAAUAUGACUUUGUUACACCACAAGAAUCAUUGCUUCGUUUCUAAAACGAUUUAAUGUCAUGAUUCAACCAACCAUAUCGUCCACUCAUAACCCAACCACAACGACCCAACUACGACAACAUAACCACCAAACUAAAUUACGGCAGUACCGUUGACGGUAACCCUCAACUAUUGAGAAGAAAUGAUGACAAAUAUGUCAAAUACUCCAGGACCCUCACAUCAACCACCUUUUCCUCAACCAACAUUCAAAGACCCUAAACACCUCAAAGAAAUCGUGAGAGACCUCGAAGACAGACUAAUGCACCAGGAUGUGGAACCUGAGGAUGUUUCAAUCGGGCGAAUCAUUUUAUGUAUUUGAAUUUUAUAAGGUAAUAUCAUGGAUUAUUUUUAAUUUUCUUCUUUAUUUCAAAUUUUUUAAAUUAUAAUUAAAAAAAGUUAAAAAAUAAAUAAAGGAGUAACCACAUGCAAUGACACAUGCUCCUAAUGGAUGCAUGCAUGCGCCACUUAAAGUGAUAUGUUUUCAAUGCUGUCACCAUCAUCAUCGGUGCCUUAGUGUAUAAGAAUAAUCUAUCUGUCAUUUCUCCUGACUAUUUUUUUUGAAAAAUAGUUAUUUUGAUAAAUAAUUUAAAAAUAUAAUUGUUUUAGUGUUUAAUUUAAAAAUAGUAGUUAUUUUAAAAAAAAUUCAAAAAUUGAUGUAAAUACGUGUGAUUAAAUUUUAUUGACUGAACAUAAAAAAAAUCUAUUUAUUGAAUUUAGCGAAUGAAUAUAAAGUUUAAUUGAAAUACACUGACAGUGUAAAAUGAUUUUACAUCGUCAGUUAAUAAUAGAGGUUGAAUAUUAAAAUAAAUUUAAUUUUUAUUUUAAAAAUCUAUAAAGUAAUACAAACAAGAAAAAUGAUGAUGAUGAAUUGAUAGAGUAAAACUUUAUAACUUAAAGACAAUAGUAAUUACUCUCAUGAAUAUUUCGUCCCAUAUAAAAAACGAUGAUAUUUGUCAUUUUUGUUAUUUUUCCCUCAACUCACAAACCGUUAAAAAAAUAAUAAAAUAAUUGAAAAGAGAAAUAAUCAUGAUAUAUUUAUAAAUUCAUUAGUUAAUUUGUAGCAUUUCUGAAAUUAUUAGAUCGAAGAAGCUCCUUCCGACAAAGAAAGGUUCGCAUCAUAUUCACAAAUUUCUACUCUUUUUCUUUCUUUUCGUUUUUCUCUCAUCCAGAUCUAUAAAUUAUCAUGAAUUUGAGAAAUCAUCGUUAAUAAAAAUCCUGCUAGUGAUUUUUAUAAUUUCAUAGGUUAUUCUCUUGGAACCCUAAAUUCUGGGUUGUAUAUAGGUUAUGGAAUUGAAAUUCCAGAUGAAUUUGAUAAAAUUGUUUAGUUUUUUUUUAUAGUUUUUUUUUAUUUUUUAUAAUUUUUUUUAGAUGCAAUUGAUUUCAUUUGUGUUAUUUUGGAGGAUAUGCUGUGUUGAAACCCUAUUUUAUCGGUUGUUUUAAGUAAUUAUUUUCAAUUUCUAUAUGUAUCUUAUUUUCUUAGGGUUCAUAGAUACAAAAACUAAUUAGUUAACAUGUUAAUCAUGAUUUUACCAUGGUUUUGCAGUUUGUGAAACAUGUUGGUUGUAAUAUUUGAAGCAUUGACACCUUUGAAAAAUGUGUGACCGUGACCGAAAUCGAUAGUGACGGUUGUAAUUACGUUUAAUUUAUUGGUAUUUUCAAAUUAUUACCGGUGUCAACGUGUUAGUGUCGGUGUUGUGUUUUCGGUGUCCAUGCCUCAUAGGUCCUAAUAUUGUAUAAUAGGAACAAAAGUUAAGUAGUUAACGUGCUUAAUGCGCCAAUCGUGAUUUUAUUUUUAUGGUUUUGAAAUUGCUAAAACAUGGUUGUUACUUGUUAUGAUACUGUAUAAUGUUUACCUUGCUUAUUUUUUCAUUAUUGCUUAAUGUAGAUAUCCUCGAUGGUUAAAACCUUAAAAUCCAGGAAAUUAUUGGCUUGUUAAGGUUGUUAGUGAAACACUUUUUCCAUAUUUGUUAAAUACUCCUGCAGGUCUAACUUACUAAUAUUCUUUAUAGAAAAAAGUGUGUGUGUACUAUGUAUCUAUGUGCAUAUGUAUAUGUGUAUGAUUAAUGAGAGAAACACACACUAAAUUUUUGGACUCAAAUGUUGUUGCAGAAAAUGGAAUAUUGCAUGCUUCUGAUUUUCUAUUUCUUUUCAUCUCCUGAUAUGAUAGGUUCUAAUUGGUCAAAAACAUGUCUCAUCGCCAAGGAGGUGAUGCUGAAUAUUUUGCGGAUGAAUAUGAAAUGGAUGAUGUAGAAGAGGAUAUCGAUAUAGAUGGUGAAUCUAUUAAUAGAGAGGGAGGUGACGUUGACUCCGACGUUGAUGAAUAUGAUUACUCGGUUCGUAAUAUGCCGUUUCCUAAAUUUUUACAUUUUUUACUGUUAUGGAUAUGUUGUACACGAUGAUGUUUUAUUGUACAAUAACCCAUUUUCCAUUUAUGGGGGCGUCGACUUACUCUCCUAGUUAAAUAAAUAAUUCAUCAAGCAAAUGUAAAUUAUUGUAUCUUUCUACGAGUAACAUUAUUGUUAUGAUGGCAGAGUAGUAAAGCGGUAGACACUACAGCUGCUCAAGCUAGAAGAGGACAAGACAUCCAGGGGAUUCCGUGGGAUAGCCUUAGCAUCACCAGAGAAAGGUAUCGGCAAACGAGGCUUGAGCAAUACAAGAAUUAUGAAAAUAUCCCCCAAUCAGGGGAAAGGUCAGGGAAGGUAACAAUUUGAUGCAUUUUCUCUUUGAUAUUUCAGAGAAAAAACUUCAUAUAUGUCACCGGCCAUAACUAUGGCCAAUAUAAACCAUAGUCACAGAAUUCGCCACAGUACACAGAACUGCGGAUUGGUCCUCGAGUACCUGUUCCCGGUAUUUCUUUUUUGCGAUUUGGUUCACGCAAUUUCAUGAGAAAUUUGCAGGAAUCCGUGUACCAGAGAGGCAAAACCAUCUCUGGUUUAAUUGAGCAUUAUAAUACUAAGUAAAAUAAAAACCGGCUAAAGAAACCGUUGUUUAAAUACUGCACUGGCAAUGGGAAAUACUCAUCGCAUUAAAAAAGGGAGAUAUCACUGGCCUUCACAUGCGCCGCACCUUGCUGUACACUGGAGCGUUGGUCUAUACACUGUUUAUAUUUAGUUUACCUCUAUGUUUUCCAAGCUUCCGAUGUGGGACUAUAGUGCUAUCUCCUAAUGUCGGACUACUCCUAUAGCCCUAUCUCUCUAUGUUUGACAAGCCACAUACUUGGGUGCAUAUCCUCUAUUGGUGACUAUUGGACUAUCCUUUUUAAGGUGACUUUUGUUGGAAUCUGAUUUUUUAAACAAAUGUUAAUUACUCUUCUUGAUAAUAGAUGCUUAGAUCAUAGAUACUCAAAUAAUUAUUUUGACAAUAGGGAAUUAGUUCCUAAAAUGAAAUUGCAUUUUUUUUAAUACUAAAAAAUGCUACCGGUCUAUUAUAUUAUAAAUCACACAACUAUAUAACAUCUUAGUGCUCAGUUUUUUAACAAUAUAAAUUGUUUUUUGACGAUUUUAAUGAUAUUAAUUUAAUUUGAAUUACAAAAGAUGUAAUCUACAUAAAUGGUAAACUAAAAAUAUUUCUAAAACUUCCAUUUUCUUGAAAAUGCGAACUAUCAAUUUUUCAUUACUAUUAAAAUGUAUUUAUGGAUAGUUUGAGAUUCUUUUGUUUUUAUCAUUUUUCGUGUUGUUUUUAAAUUAGAUAUUUUUAAUUCACAGUGUACCGAUUAGUAUAUUAAAACAUAUUACAAACCGAAAUAGUGCACUGACUAUGUAUACCAUGUACCUAAUACUUUGAGGGUUGUGUACCACAUACCCAAAACCGUAACACGUACUGCAGAAAAUUGUGAACCAGGCGACUAUGAUAUAAAUAACACCAUGCUUACCUGUUCAUUAUUGUCUAUUACAAACAGGAUUGUAACAGUACAGACAAAGGAUACUCAUUUUAUGAGUUCAGGAGAAAUUCAAGAUCAGUAAAAUCAACAAUUCUUCAUUUUCAGGUAAGCUGUAGCCUGUAUCUACUCUGGUUUUUAUAAUGGAUUAAGGAUGCUCUAGGACAUUUUACUGCACAAUGGCUCUGUUUAACUGUUUUUUAUAAAUUAAAAGUUAGAUCAGCUUAUUACAAUAUGAAAUAUAUUAAACCAAUGGUCCAAACUUUAAGUCAAGUCUGAAAAGUGUUGGUACUUCAAUGCACCGUGUAUUGAAAUUGAUAGCAAGAGUAAAGGGAGAAGGAAGAGACUCUACAUCACUCUAUACCGAACGGCCACAUGAUAAAAUGCUCAUAAUCAUUGAAUAGGUUCAAAAAAUUAAAAAUAUGCAGGUAUCCAAUACCUGCAAUAUUUAUCUGGUGGCCAGUUUAAAAUACUCAGUUGCUGGUUUGAAUCAGUAUGUGGUAAGCAACUAAAUUUGGUAGAGAGAGCUCUGAGGUUUUCACAGCUGGAACAUGUGAUUUAUUAUAUAUUAUGUCAAAUUUUGUAGUCUGUUCAUAGGAUGCGAAGCUUGAGCAGUACCUUGGAUGCAAUAGGCUUCGAAGAGAUGUGAUCUCAUGUGGUUUGACUGAUAUUCCCUCCUUUUUUUUAUACUUAUGCAGUUGAGGAAUUUGGUUUGGGCUACAUCAAAGCAUGAUGUAUACCUUAUGUCUCAGUUCUCAGUAACACAUUGGUCUUCUUUGACUUGCACAAGGUCUGAAGUACUCAAUGUUUCAGGACAUGUUGCACCAUCAGAGGUGAAUAGUCCUUUAAAUAAUGUUUUUAAUUGGAUAGCCCUCUAAACCAUGUUGCACCGUCAUGUAGCACAAGGUCUAAAGAAUGGUUUGACUUCUGAUUGUUCAUUGCAUUAAUUUUGAGAAAAUAAUUGUCAAUCAUGUUUGUAAUCUUCCAUGUUAUCAUUUUUCCUUGUCAGAAACAUCCUGGAAGUCUAUUGGAAGGAUUCACACACACUCAAGUUAGUACACUUGCAGUAAAAGAUAAUCUUCUAGUUGCUGGAGGAUUUCAGGGUGAACUUAUUUGCAAGGUAAAUGUUAAUUUGCUUGUUAUUGAGGAAUACGAUUUUUUUAAAUCUGUUGCGAAUAGAGCAGUAAGUAUAAUUUGUAAUCCUGGACAUCCACAUUCUGAUCAUUCCGUGAAACGUUUAAACAAAAUUUAAAGAAUGCAAUGCACUGCUUUCGUAAGUUCAUACGCAACAUGCACAAGCAGACAUGUGAUUUAUAUGUGGUGAUGAAUAACUUUUUUAGGUAACAUUGUAAAGACUUAAAUAUAUUUUUUGUCUAUGUAAAAGAGACUGUUUUGGAAAGAUCUGCCCAAUUUUCUCAUUUUGUGGCUUCCUAAAUAUCUCAGUAAUUUAGUGUUUUUCAAAUUUUACAGACCAUGUGGAACCUAAGAACAAUUAAUGAGCAUUGUUUUAAUAAUUGGUGGAGUACUAGAGUGUUGCAACUCCUCUCUCCUUCAUUUUCCAGCCCUUUUUUAAAUUUCUUUUCAAGGAAUACUUGAAUUAUCAUUUUCAUUCAUGUUAAUCCUAAUUGGGCAUUUGCAUAUGCAUUCAGUUUGGUUUGCAUUGCUAUUAGAUUCUGCAUGUUUUUUAGUUAUAUUUGCAGAUGCUGUAGACGUGUCCCUCGGAAUUUGUUUUUGUUAUUAGAACCAUCAGCUGAUAUACUUUCAUCACUUUCUUUGUUACUGAAAUGCAGCACCUAGACCGACCUGGUGUCAGCUUUUGCUCAAGGACUACUUAUGAUGAUAACGCUAUCACCAAUGCCAUUGAGAUUUAUGCUUCUCCUAGGUAUUUAGUUUUCUUUCUAAUUGUUUUGUUAUUUUAAGAAUGGUUAUAGGUACCUGUGUUUUAAUACCAUUGGUUCCUGCUUUUUAGUGGGGCAGUUCAUUUCACAGCAUCAAAUAAUGAUUGUGGAAUCAGAAACUUUGAUAUGGAGAAGUUUCAACUCUCUAAGCAUUUUCGUUUUCCCUGGCCAGUGAAUGUGAGUCUCUUAGAUUAUGUUCUAAUCUUUUAGUUUCCUACCUCUCUUAAGAUGAUAAGUGAAUACUUUAAUUUUGUUCUUCAGAAGUUUUAUUGCCAUUUCUUUUUGCAUUAAUGAGCAAUUUUUGCAUUAUGACACAUUUGCUCUAUGGAUGAGUCGAUUGAUUUCCCACCCUAAUUUGACUUAUAAAGUUUAUUCUCGAAGUUCAACAAUUAGAAGAAAUAAUGAACAAAUUCGAGUGUCAAUAUGGGCCUUCAGCGACUAGCUAGAAUUGUUGAUAUCUUUCUGUUCUUGUGACAUUCCUUUGCUUUCUAUUUAUGUUCUCAUCUUUGUCCGUUUUUUCCCAUGCUGCAGCAUACUUCUCUCAGUCCAGAUGGUAAGCUACUUCUGAUUGUUGGAGACAAUCCUGAAAGCAUGUUGGUGGACUCUCAAAAUGGAAAGGUAGUACACUACGCCCGUUUCGGUCAAACAACCAAACACUUCUUCAGUUAGUUGCAUCCAAAGAGUACUAGUACAUGAUUGCAAAUCUUGCUAAUCCGAAUUUCCUUAUUUUGCAGACUAUUGCUCCAUUAUCUGGGCACUUAGAUUUUUCAUUUGCAUCAUCAUGGAAUCCUGAUGGCGUGACCUUUGCUACUGGAAACCAGGACAAAACCUGUAGGAUUUGGGACAUGCGAAACUUAUCCAAGUCAGUGGCAGUGUUGAAGGGAAAUCUCGGAGCUAUCCGUUCAAUCCGACAUUCUUCUGACGGCAAGUAUAUGGCUAUAGCCGAGCCUGCAGAUUUUGUCCAUGUAUAUGAUGUGAAAAGUGGGUAUGAGAAAGAACAGGAAAUCGAUUUCUUCGGUGAGAUAUCCGGCAUAUCUUUCAGUCCAGACACCGAAUCCCUUUUCAUCGGGGUUUGGGAUCGUACAUAUGGCAGCCUUCUUGAAUAUGGCCGACGUCAUAAUUACUCAUACGCUGACCUAAUGAUUUAGUCGAAUAUAUUCAAGACGAGGGAUAAAGUAACAUAAUAGACAGUGCACUUGAUCGAACAGCUUGCUUUAUGUAUCCUUUUGGGGUAGGUUGUUAAUGUAUAAAUUGAGUGUCCUGCAAGUUACCUCAAAUUUGUAGUUAUAGUAGGGCGUGUUUGUGUUUAUAAUGGUGUGUGUGUGUGGAAAGUGAGGUAGUAGGAGGCUAGAAGAAGAUGAUGGUGCAAACAGAUCUUGCUGAGUAUCAUCAUCAUCACUAUGUAAUGCAGUAGUUUUCUGUCUUGGAAAAACUCACUAUGGCAAUAACAUAUAUAUAUAUAUAUAUAUCUUGAUAUUUCUUGGUCCUAUUUGUCCAUUGAUUGUCUAGUUAGUGUUUGAGUGGAGCAUAGGUAGUAUGCAUCAUUCAAAGGAAAACUAAGUAGUUUGUUGUAUGAAGAUUUUAUGUUACAUUAGCCUUUUGUAUUUUGUUUAUCUUUGUCAAGUUUUUAUGUCCAUGUUGAUGUAUUACAAAACUUGAUGGAAUAUAUAAAUACUAAAAGAAUAGUAUUGAGAAACUAGGACUUACCUGGUUAACUUUUCCAUAAACAACUAUAAGCUUAUUAAACUUAUUUUCUAUCAAAAAGAAAAAUGUAAACUUAUUUCAAUUUUAAAAAUUAUCAUAACUUAAAAACUAAUUUAAAUUUAGUGAGCCAUGUACAAUCAAAUUAAGUUCAAGUUGCUGUAAUUUUAAGAUACUCAAUUUAAUAUUUAAUAAUAAAAAAAUAAAAAGAAGUUUUUUAUAAAUAAAAUAAUGGGUGAGUCCUAGUUUAAGUCACAAGUAUUUUUUACUUGUAAAUAAUAUAAACAGAUUUUUGCAUAAAGACAUUCUGUGUAGAUAUCAACAAUUAAAGACCACAGAGAAAAAUAAAAAAGAAAUCUAGAAUCCAAAACAAACCAAUAAAACCAAGCCAAGUCACUAGCUAAAAUCUUUAGUCCAUGGUCCAAAAUCACAAUCACAAAGCACCUUAUCUUUCUCUACCACCACAUCUUUUCAUACUAUAUCAUAUAAUUCCAUAACCAACCUUCUCUUCCAUUCCAUUCCAUUCACUCAUCAAACCAAAAACAAUGGCAGCAUCAGCAUCAUCCAUGAUCUCAACAAACGCCCUAACAUCCACACUCCAAAAACACCAAACACACAACCUCAAACCAUCAAACCUAUGUUUCCAAGGCUUCAAACCCUUAACAAGAUCAACAAAACUGACACAGAACAAAAAGAGAUUCUCAUCCCUUGUUGUCAAAGCUGAACUCAACCCUUCACUUGUGAUAAGCUUAAGCACUGGUCUGUCAUUGUUUUUAGGAAGGUUUGUGUUCUUCAACUUCCAAAGAGAGAAUGUUGCAAAACAAGGUUUACCUGAACAGAAUGGUGUGACACACUUUGAAGCUGGUGACUCACGUGCUAAGGAAUAUGUUAGCUUGCUUAAGUCAAAUGAUCCUGUCGGGUUUAACCUUGUUGAUGUUUUGGCUUGGGGUUCUAUAGGUCAUAUUGUUGCUUAUUAUAUCUUGGCCACUUCUAGCAAUGGUUAUGAUCCUAGUUUCUUUGGUUAAUUAAGAUUACUAUGUUGUUCGUUUAUGUUGUUUUAAUUUGUCUUUUCUUGUCCCUUUUAUGUUUAUUAAGAUGAUGAUGAUGAUGAUGAUGUAUAGUUUAUUUGUAUGAGAUAUUCAACAAGUUAAGUUC
rnacentral:lncRNA from 1 species